rnacentral:lncRNA from 1 species
ACUAUGGUUGGGGAUUUCCUGCGUGGAUGAAAAUAAAAGGGGUGAGUUUGGGGAAACUCAGUGUGUAAGGAAAACCCAUUCAAAGCCCAAGUCAGCUCAAGCCUAUUGGGCCUAAGCCCAUUCAGGUAACAGUGGUACUGGACCAGAGCCCUUUUCAGACUAUAAUAAACUGGGCCUUAGCCCCUUAUUCAGAUAACAGUAUGGCCCAUAGGCCCAUUUCAAAAUACAUGCAACAUCAGUAAACAUAUGCAAGCCCAUUUGGGGAGACUACUCAACCCACCAACCACUACACUCCACCUGUACCAGCCAUACACUCCAUGUGGGGAAUAGCUCAACCCACCCAGCCCAACACUCCACAGUUGUAGCCUUGCUACUCUGUAACAGCCCGAUUUUGACUCUAAUUGGACAUAGUGGUUUCGGGACCACAAGUCCGAGUUAAAAAAAUAUUUUAAUAUUAUUUCAUGUGUUUAUUAUAUGUUAAUUUACAUGUGUGAAAAUCUCGUGAAUUAAUUUUAUUGUUUGUGUGCUUAAUUUAAUAAAAGGACUUAAUCGCAUAAAAUGUGAAAUUGACUAAUUAAUGUGUAAAGUGCUAACUUGCUAAUGUCUUUAUAAUGUGAAGUCCUUAAUAGGAAAUUAGGCCAUUAUUCAAGAUAGUGGAUCGCAUUAUGCUUAUAAAUUAUAGUUUUUAUAUUAUGUAUAAAGGUUAUAAUAAUAUAUUAUAUUAUAAUGUUAAUAUAUUAAAAGACAAACAAAUUAAAAGCCACAUUUUUCAUCUUAUUUUGACCGAAACUAGAGAAAAGAAAAAGAAAGAAACCUAAGCUAGGUUCGGCCAUCUUUUGAAGCUUAAUUCAAGGUUAGUUUUUGUUUGGUUUUUGAUGAUUUUUACGUUUUUGAGAUCGUUGCUUUGAAUACUUCAAAACCCAUGUCUUAAUUUUGUGAAUUGAUGAAUAUUUUGAAUUAUGCCAUUGAUGAAUAUUUGUGUUUUGGGAUGUUUGAUGAUGAAUAAUGGAAGAUAUGUCUUAGAUUAACAUGUUUUGUAUUGGUAUUUUUGAUGAAUUUGAGUAUUUAGGGCUAAAUUGUGAAAAUAAAUUUUUGAGGGACUAAAAUGUGAAAUAAAUGCAAUGUGUGGACUUGUAUGAGAACCAUGAAUAUUCGGCCCUUGUGUGUUAUGGGCAAAUUUUGUGUAUUUUGUGUUUUGUGCAAAAAGGACUAAAUUGCAAAAAGUGCAAAAUGUUAGGGGCAAAAUGGUAAUUUUCCCAUUUAUGUAUUGUUGGACUCAAAUGAAUGUUUUGAUGAAUAAAAAGGUUAAAUUUGACUAUGUUUAGAUCAAGGAACGAAGAAAACGAAUUUGGAUCGGGGGAAGUCGAAGAUAAUUGAAUAGUCGAUCGUGUUUGCUGAUAUCCGAGGUAAGUCUAUUAGCUAUUUAAUGUCAUAAAAUCAGUAUAUAAAUAAGUAUAUAAGCUGUUUUUGGAUGAAUUAUAAUUAAAAAUAUGAUAGUUGAAAUAAUUAAAAGUAUGAGUGAAUUAUAUAUAUAUUAUGCAAAUCUACAUCUAUAUGUUCUCGUAUUGAACUUAGGUAUGCCAUUUAUACAAGUUUAUAAGGGGUUCGACUAUGCAACUAUGCAUGUAUAUGUUCUUGUGAUAAAUUUAAGUAUGAAACUUAUAUAUGAAAAAGGGAGAUUCGAUUAGGUAUGUAUGUUCUUGUAAAGGUUCUUGAACGGGGUUGAAGAGAUGAAAUUAUUAGCUUGGAUUAUCUUAAUGUGUUCGAAAGUACGAUAUUAAUAGUAUGCUUCAAUGUGUUAAGUUAUAUAUAUAUAUAUAUAUAUUCGGAUGUAUAAUUUAGAUAUUGAGUUGAAUUUGAUGAUUGAACUUUUUAUACCGAUGUGGGUUAAGGAUAUAGUUUAUAAAUUAUUGAGCUGAAUUUUUAUGUGAAUUCUAUAUACCAUUAUGAUAUACAACUCCUAUGAAUUGAUAUUCUUUUGUUAAAGCUCAGUAUCAUUCGGUUUAUCGUUAGUGACAUAAUUCAGACUUUACGUCUAGCAGGCUUAACGCCGGUGAAAUUAUUCAGACUAUAAGUCUAGCAGGCUUAAUGCCGGUGACACAUUUCAGACUUUACGUCUAGCAGGCUUAACGCCGGUGAAAUUAUUCAGACUAUAAGUUUAGCAGGCUUAAUGCCGGUGACACAUUUCAGACUAUAAGUCUAGCAGGCUUAAUGCCGGUGACACAUUUCGGACUAUAAGUCUAGCAGGCUAAGAGCCGGUGUAUUGAAUCAAGUUUUAAAACCUAGCAGGCUAAAUGCCGGUGAAUCCGUUUAAAGCAUGUGAUAAUAUACAAUUGAUACCUCUAUGAUUUUGAUUAUAUGAAAUCGAUGUAUACAUAAAUGUUCAAUCACAUGAUUUUAGUCAUAUUAACUUGAUGAGCAUAUAUAUACAUAUAUUUGGUCUAAGCAAUUGAUAGAUAUGUAUAUAUAUAUAUAUGUUGCAUUCGGCAUAGGUGAAUAUAUUUAUGUGUAUGCAUUCGGCAUAGGUGAAAAUAAGUGUAUGUAUCUAUGCAUUCGGCAUAGAUGGGUAUAAGUGCAUAUGUGCAUUCGGCAUUUAUGGAUGAUAAGCAUAAAAAUUUGGCUUUUGAUAUAUGUAGUUGAAUAGUUGUAUUUAAAUGGAUUCGAUGAAGUGCGAACAAUAAGUACUCUAGAAAUCAGUAUAUGCUGUUAAGGAUUAUGCUAGUAACUUGAUUAUAUGCAUAUAAUGUAUAUAUAUUUGUCCGUUUAUGUGUAUUAGAUAAAUAUACAUCCUUUUAGACUUAAACAAAAUGACUCAAUAAAGUAGUGUUUGAUUAGUAAUCAUAUUUGAUGAUUGUAAUUUCAAUAAAUUUACUUAAAGAAUUAUAUGAUUCUUUUAUAUGUAUUAUAGAUAUGCUGUAGACUUACUAAGCUAUAAAAGCUUACUUUGUUUGCUUUCGUUCAUUCGUUUUUAUAGAUUUUUUUUGGAGACGCGUUACGAGCUCGGGGAUCAUCAGCACCGCCCAUCACACUAUCGACUUUUUUUUUUGGUAUUUUGUUAAAUAUUUGAACUCGAUCUUAUGGCAUGUAUAGGCUUGAUAAUGUUUUGGAUAAUUUUGAAUCCUAUUGUGUAAAUAGCAAUGCGAAAAGAGUUUAACUUCCAUGCUUGAAUUUGAUUAUAUAUGUUCAUGAAUUGGACUUGCAUUUGGAAUUAGAUAUUAAAGUUAUGUUUAUGUGAGCUUGGUUUCGUAAUGCCUCGUAACCCUGAUUCAGCGACGGAGACGGGUUAGGGGUGUUACAUUUUAUUGGUAUCAGAGCUACGGUUUAGUCGAUUCUCGGAACUAGCGUAGCGUGUAUGAGUCUAGCUAUACAUGCCAUAUUUUUAUAUCGAGAUAGUGUGAUGACUGCUGACGUCUAAAAAUGUGUUUUCGUAUAGUAAUGGAUCCCGAACGAGCCGUAGCUGAUGAUGUUGAGAGUAUAGCGCCUGCUCCCGCGCAAGGGACAGAGCCAGUAGAUUCUCGACCAAUCUCGAGUAACCAGGAGGGAGAGGCUAAACAAGCCUUCUACCAAAUGAUGAAUGACUGGUUUACUCAUUAUGUCCGAACUAAUCCGGUUACACAACAACCUCCACCCCCGACUAAUCCAUCUUCGAUUCCUGUUAUACCCCAAGUAAGUGAUCCGAUGAGAUUACUUAAGCCUCCGGUUGACAAAAUUCGAAAACACGGGGCCGAAGAGUUCAGAGCUACUGAUGAUGAUGAUGCUGAGCGAGCUGAAUUCUGGCUUGAUAAUACUAUUCGAGUGUUUGAUGAGUUGUCUUGCACCCCUGAUGAGUGCUUGAAAUGUGCCAUAUCCUUGCUACGGGACACUGCGUAUCACUGGUGGAAUACACUAGUAUCAGUAGUUCCGAAAGAGCGAGUGACCUGGGAAUUCUUUCAGACUGAGUUUCGUAAGAAAUACAUCAGCCAGAGAUUUAUUGAUCAGAAACGUAAGGAAUUUCUUGAACUGAAACAGGAUCGUAUGACAGUGACAGAAUAUGAACGGAAAUUUGUGAGACUUAGUAGAUAUGCUCGAGAGUGUGUUUCAACUGAAGCUAUCAUGUGUAGAAGAUUUGAAGAUGGGCUGAAUGAAGAUAUUAAACUGUUAGUUGGUAUACUUGAGAUAAAAGAGUUCGUAGUACUUGUUGAACGAGCUUGUAAAGCUGAGGAGCUCGGGAUAGAGAAGAGGAAAGCUGACUAUGAUGCUCGAGAUUCUCGUAAAAGAUCAUUCAGUAAAUCAUUUCAGUCGACCUCAAGGAAAUUCAGAGCGGAUCAUAGCCAAUCUAAAGCUACUGCAGGGUUUCCUAAGUAUGAUCGAGAUCGACCCCCUGUGAGUUCACGAGCUACUUCAGUUGCUAGCGUUGGUAGUGUUCGACAAAAUAGAUCAGAGUGCAAGCAUUGUGGGAAAUGGCAUCCUGGGGAUUGCAGAUUCCAUGAUCGGUCUUGCUUCAAGUGUGGUUCAAAAGAUCAUUUCAUUCGAGAGUGUCCGAUGGUAGCUGAGCAAAACACUGUGCAGGAUACCAGACCGAGUAAUGUGCCAGUCCGAGGUAGACCGCCGAGACAAUUGAGUAAUGUAAGUGGUAGUCAGAGAGGAACCAGGGACACAGCAAUUCGAUCUGAGGCCCGUGCACCUGCCAGAGCUUAUGCCAUCCGUGCUCGAGAGGAGGCUUCUUCUCCAGAUGUUAUUACUGGUACUUUCACUCUUUAUGAUACUAAUGUUAUUGCAUUGAUUGAUCCUGGUUCGACUCAUUCUUAUGUGUGUGAGACUUUAGUAUUCAGUAAGACUUUGCCUGUUGAGUCUACUGAGUUUAUAAUUAAAGUAUCGAACCCCCUGGGCCGGUGUGUUUUGGUUGACAAAGUGUGCAAGAAUUGUCCGUUGAUGAUUCGAGAUUUAUGUUUUCCAGCUGAUUUGAUGUUGUUACCAUUCGACGAGUUCGAUAUAAUUCUGGGUAUGGAUUGGUUAACUCUGCAUGAUGCUAUUGUAAACUGCAAACGGAAAACUAUUGAUCUACGGUGUCAGAAUGAUGAGAUUAUUCGGAUCGAAUCUAAUGAUCUGAAUGGUUUAUCAGCAAUAAUAUCCUCGAUGUCGGCUCAGAAGUAUGUGAGAAGGGGUUGUGAAGCUUACCUUGCAUUUGUUCUUGAUAGUAAAGUGACCGAAAAGAAGAUUGAAUCUGUACCAGUAGUGUGUGAGUAUUCAGACGUGUUUCCCGAAGAAUUACCAGGUUUGCCACCUAUUCGAGAGGUAGAGUUUGGUAUUGAGUUAGUACCAGGGACGACUCCCAUAUCGAUAGCUCCGUACCGUAUGGCACCGACCGAAUUAAAAGAAUUGAAAGUACAGUUGCAAGAGCUGACUGAUAAAGGUUUUGCACGACCGAGUUUCUCUCCUUGGGGUGCACCAGUUCUAUUUGUGAGAAAAAAAGACGGAACGAUGAGAAUGUGCAUUGAUUACCGGCAACUCAAUAAAGUGACUAUAAAGAAUAAGUAUCCGUUACCACGGAUUGAUGAUUUGUUCGAUCAGUUGAAAGGGGCUACUGUGUUUUCAAAGAUAGAUCUGAGAUCAGGCUACUAUCAGUUGCGAGUUAAAGACUCUGAUGUGCCAAAGACUGCUUUCCGAACGAGGUACGGACAUUAUGAGUUUCUUGUUAUGCCUUUCGGACUUACUAAUGCACCUGCUAUUUUCAUGGAUUUGAUGAAUCGGAUCUUUAGGAAGUAUCUGGAUCGGUUUGUGGUAGUAUUUAUUGAUGACAUUUUGAUCUACUCUCGAGACGAAAAUGAGCAUGCUGAACAUCUGAGACUUGUGUUACAAACUUUGCGAGAUAAGCAGUUGUAUGCAAAGUUUAGUAAAUGUGAGUUCUGGUUACGUGAAGUCAGUUUUCUGGGCCAUGUCGUAUCAGCAUCGGGUAUUUGGGUUGAUCCGAGUAAAAUUUCAGCUAUACUUGAUUGGAAACCUCCGAGGAAUGUUUCAGAAGUUCGAAGCUUUCUGGGGCUCGCUGGCUAUUAUAGACGUUUUGUGAAAGGGUUUUCUAUGAUUGCGACCCCGAUGACAAGGCUACUACAAAAAGACGUUAAGUUUGAGUGGUCAGAAAAGUGCCAGAAAAGUUUCGAUCAGUUGAAAGCUCUUUUAACCAAAGCUCCAGUCCUAGUUCAACCCGAAUCGGGUAAAGAGUUUGUUAUCUAUAGUGAUGCAUCUUUAAAUGGUUUGGGCUGUGUAUUGAUGCAGGAAGGCAAAGUUGUAGCCUAUGCCUCGAGACAGUUAAAGCCGCAUGAAAAGAACUAUCCGACGCAUGAUCUGGAAUUGGCCGCUAUUGUAUUUGCGUUAAAAAUAUGGCGUCACUAUCUGUUUGGCGAAAGAUGUCAUGUUUAUUCCGAUCAUAAAAGCUUGAAAUAUUUGAUGACUCAGAAAGAUCUGAAUUUGAGACAGCGUCGAUGGUUAGAAUUGUUGAAAGAUUACGAGCUCGUGAUUGACUAUCAUCCGGGAAAGGCUAAUGUUGUUGCUGAUGCCCUAAGUCGAAAAUCACUGUUUGCUUUGCGUACAAUGAAUGCACAUAUGGUUAUGUCUGAUGAUGGUGCGAUAGUAGCUGAGUUGAAAGCAAAACCGUUAUUUGUUCAACAGAUUUGUGAAGCUCAAAAAGCCGAUGAUGAUUUAAUUGCAAAACGAACUCAGUGUGACUUAAAUGUUGAUUCAGAGUUUCUGGUUGAUACUGAGGAUUGUUUGAGAUUCAGAAACCGAUUAUGUGUUCCGAAAAAUCCAGAGUUAAUUCAGAUGAUUUUGAAUGAAGCCCAUAAUAGUCGAUUUUCUGUUCAUCCGGGUAGCACGAAAAUGUAUAAUGAUCUGAAACAACACUAUUGGUGGCAUGGAAUGAAACGAGACAUUUCUGACUUUGUUUCGAAAUGUUUAAUAUGUCAGCAAGUAAAAGCCGAGCAUCAGGUACCUUCUGGAUUGCUGCAGCCGAUCAUGAUACCUGAAUGGAAAUGGGACAGAGUUACGAUGAAUUUUGUAUCCGGUUUACCGUUAACACCCAGCAAGAAAGAUGCAAUUUGGGUUGUUGUUGAUAGAUUGACAAAAUUGGCUCACUUUAUUCCGGUUCGUAUUGAUUAUUCGCUUGAUAAACUUGCUGAAUUGUACAUUUCUCAGAUUGUAAAAUUGCACGGAGUGCCUAUUUCUAUUAUUUCGGACAGAGACCCGAGAUUUACAUCGCGGUUUUGGAAGAAAUUACAAGAUGCUUUAGGUACGAAACUACAUUUUAGCACAGCUUUCCAUCCGCAAACAGAUGGUCAAUCGGAGCGAAUUAUACAGAUACUUGAGGACAUGUUGAGAUGUUGCAUUCUCGAGUUUGAAGGUACGUGGGAACGAUAUUUACCUUUGAUUGAAUUUGCUUAUAAUAACAGCUUUCAAUCUAGUAUUAAAAUGGCACCUUAUGAGGAUUUGUACGGUCGUAAAUGUCGUACACCACUGUAUUGGACCGAGCUCAGUGAAAAUAGGAUACACGGGGUUGAUUUGAUUAAAGAGACCGAACAGAAAGUGAAAGUGAUUCGGGACAGCCUGAAAUCAGCAUCAGAUCGUCAGAAAUCUUAUGCGGAUUUGAGAAGAAAAUAUAUAGAAUUUCAGAUCGGCGAUAAAGUGUUUUUGAAAGUCUCACCGUGGAAGAAAGUACUCAGAUUCGGUCGUAAAGGCAAAUUGAGUCCAAGAUUCAUUGGACCGUAUGAGAUUAUAGAACGUGUCGGACCGGUUGCUUAUAGAUUGAUGUUACCACCUGAGUUAGAAAAGAUUCACAAUGUAUUUCAUGUUUCGAUGCUCCGUAGACACCGAUCUGAUCCUUCACAUGUGAUUUGUCCGACGGAGAUUGAAAUUAACCCUGAUAUGUCAUAUGAAGAAGAACCGAUUAGCAUUCUGGCUCGUGAGAUCAAGGAAUUACGAAAUAAGAAAAUUCCGUUAGUUAAAGUAUUGUGGCAUAAACACGGAGUUGAAGAAGCAACUUGGGAGUCAGAGGAUACAAUGAAGGAGCGUUAUCCAAACCUAUUCACCGGUAAGAUUUUCGGGGACGAAAAUCCCUAAAGGGGGGGAGAGUUGUAACAGCCCGAUUUUGACUCUAAUUGGACAUAGUGGUUUCGGGACCACAAGUCCGAGUUAAAAAAAUAUUUUAAUAUUAUUUCAUGUGUUUAUUAUAUGUUAAUUUACAUGUGUGAAAAUCUCGUGAAUUAAUUUUAUUGUUUGUGUGCUUAAUUUAAUAAAAGGACUUAAUCGCAUAAAAUGUGAAAUUGACUAAUUAAUGUGUAAAGUGCUAACUUGCUAAUGUCUUUAUAAUGUGAAGUCCUUAAUAGGAAAUUAGGCCAUUAUUCAAGAUAGUGGAUCGCAUUAUGCUUAUAAAUUAUAGUUUUUAUAUUAUGUAUAAAGGUUAUAAUAAUAUAUUAUAUUAUAAUGUUAAUAUAUUAAAAGACAAACAAAUUAAAAGCCACAUUUUUCAUCUUAUUUUGACCGAAACUAGAGAAAAGAAAAAGAAAGAAACCUAAGCUAGGUUCGGCCAUCUUUUGAAGCUUAAUUCAAGGUUAGUUUUUGUUCGGUUUUUGAUGAUUUUUACGUUUUUCAGAUCGUUGCUUUGAAUACUUCAAAACCCAUGUCUUAAUUUUGUGAAUUGAUGAAUAUUUUGAAUUAUGCCAUUGAUGAAUAUUUGUGUUUUGGGAUGUUUGAUGAUGAAUAAUGGAAGAUAUGUCUUAGAUUAACAUGUUUUGUAUUGGUAUUUUUGAUGAAUUUGAGUAUUUAGGGCUAAAUUGUGAAAAUAAAUUUUUGAGGGACUAAAAUGUGAAAUAAAUGCAAUGUGUGGAAUUGUAUGAGAACCAUGAAUAUUCGGCCCUUGUGUGUUAUGGGCAAAUUUUGUGUAUUUUGUGUUUUGUGCAAAAAGGACUAAAUUGCAAAAAGUGCAAAAUGUUAGGGGCAAAAUGGUAAUUUUCCCAUUUAUGUAUUGUUGGACUCAAAUGAAUGUUUUGAUGAAUAAAAAGGUUAAAUUUGACUAUGUUUAGAUCAAGGAACGAAGAAAACGAAUUUGGAUCGGGGGAAGUCGAAGAUAAUUGAAUAGUCGAUCGUGUUUGCUGAUAUCCGAGGUAAGUCUAUUAGCUAUUUAAUGUCAUAAAAUCAGUAUAUAAAUAAGUAUAUAAGCUGUUUUUGGAUGAAUUAUAAUUAAAAAUAUGAUAGUUGAAAUAAUUAAAAGUAUGAGUGAAUUAUAUAUAUAUUAUGCAAAUCUACAUCUAUAUGUUCUCGUAUUGAACUUAGGUAUGCCAUUUAUACAAGUUUAUAAGGGGUUCGACUAUGCAACUAUGCAUGUAUAUGUUCUUGUGAUAAAUUUAAGUAUGAAACUUAUAUAUGAAAAAGGGAGAUUCGAUUAGGUAUGUAUGUUCUUGUAAAGGUUCUUGAACGGGGUUGAAGAGAUGAAAUUAUUAGCUUGGAUUAUCUUAAUGUGUUCGAAAGUACGAUAUUAAUAGUAUGCUUCAAUGUGUUAAGUUAUAUAUAUAUAUAUAUAUAUUCGGAUGUAUAAUUUAGAUAUUGAGUUGAAUUUGAUGAUUGAACUUUUUAUACCGAUGUGGGUUAAGGAUAUAGUUUAUAAAUUAUUGAGCUGAAUUUUUAUGUGAAUUCUAUAUACCAUUAUGAUAUACAACUCCUAUGAAUUGAGAUUCUUUUGUUAAAGCUCAGUAUCAUUCAGUUUAUCGUUAGUGACAUAAUUCAGACUUUACGUCUAGCAGGCUUAACGCCGGUGAAAUUAUUCAGACUAUAAGUCUAGCAGGCUUAAUGCCGGUGACACAUUUCAGACUUUACGUCUAGCAGGCUUAACGCCGGUGAAAUUAUUCAGACUAUAAGUCUAGCAGGCUUAAUGCCGGUGACACAUUUCAGACUAUAAGUCUAGCAGGCUUAAUGCCGGUGACACAUUUCGGACUAUAAGUCUAGCAGGCUAAGAGCCGGUGUAUUGAAUCAGGUUUUAAAACCUAGCAGGCUAAAUGCCGGUGAAUCCGUUUAAAGCAUGUGAUAAUAUACAAUUGAUACCUCUAUGAUUUUGAUUAUAUGAAAUCGAUGUAUACAUAAAUGUUCAAUCACAUGAUUUUAGUCAUAUUAACUUGAUGAGCAUAUAUAUAUACAUAUAUUUGGUCUAAGCAAUUGAUAGAUAUGUAUAUAUAUAUAUAUGUUGCAUUCGGCAUAGGUGAAUAUAUUUAUGUGUAUGCAUUCGGCAUAGGUGAAAAUAAGUGUAUGUAUCUAUGCAUUCGGCAUAGAUGGGUAUAAGUGCAUAUGUGCAUUCGGCAUUUAUGGAUGAUAAGCAUAAAAAUUUGGCUUUUGAUAUAUGUAGUUGAAUAGUUGUAUUUAAAUGGAUUCGAUGAAGUGCGAACAAUAAGUACUCUAGAAAUCAGUAUAUGCUGUUAAGGAUUAUGCUAGUAACUUGAUUAUAUGCAUAUAAUGUAUAUAUAUUUGUCCGUUUAUGUGUAUUAGAUAAAUAUACAUCCUUUUAGACUUAAACAAAAUGACUCAAUAAAGUAGUGUUUGAUUAGUAAUCAUAUUUGAUGAUUGUAAUUUCAAUAAAUUUACUUAAAGAAUUAUAUGAUUCUUUUAUAUGUAUUAUAGAUAUGCUGUAGACUUACUAAGCUAUAAAAGCUUACUUUGUUUGCUUUCGUUCAUUCGUUUUUAUAGAUUUUUUUUGGAGACGCGUUACGAGCUCGGGGAUCAUCAGCACCGCCCAUCACACUAUCGACUUUUUUUUUUGGUAUUUUGUUAAAUAUUUGAACUCGAUCUUAUGGCAUGUAUAGGCUUGAUAAUGUUUUGGAUAAUUUUGAAUCCUAUUGUGUAAAUAGCAAUGCGAAAAGAGUUUAACUUCCAUGCUUGAAUUUGAUUAUAUAUGUUCAUGAAUUGGACUUGCAUUUGGAAUUAGAUAUUAAAGUUAUGUUUAUGUGAGCUUGGUUUCGUAAUGCCUCGUAACCCUGAUUCGGCGACGGAGACGGGUUAGGGGUGUUACAUGCUCAGUUAACAGUAAAUUAAGGCAAAGCCUCCAGUACGUGGACAAGCCACUUUCAGUACUUCCUCCGUCAAUAUCCCAGUCCCAUGUAUCAGAUAAUAACAACAUGGCAUGCAGUAAAUAACAACAGUCAAACAUGCAUUUAGGUCAAUUUAACCCUAGGGGUAUUUCGGUAAUUUAUCUCCUAGGGGUAAAACUGUAAAUUUUCCACUUUUAAAGGUAUUUCAAUAGUUUAUCUAUUUUAGGGUUUUUCAUGCAUAUUUCUACCUUUCACGUACUAACAGAAUCACUACCGAGGGUUCUUACCGAAUUGGGCCUGUUGGCCCAUCAUUCCAAUUUUGGCCCAUUAAGCCCAAAAAUAUCGAGGGCAUAGAAAUCAUGCACUUUGUAGUCCAAAUUUUUCAGCUUACCAAAAACAUUAAUCGAUUUACCUCACGAGCAUUCACACACUCGCAAAUCUACAAAAUACCGGUUUUCAGCAUUUCAGCUUUUCGACUUUUGCCAAUCCAGACUAAGAAAGAGGGUGUUAGUUACACACCUGUUUGUGACGAUAUGCUGACGAGAUCCACACACGAACUGCCUACAAUUGGAUUACUAACACAUUAAUCUAACUAUUCAAAUACGAACUACAUAUUAACCCCUUAAAAUAUUCGGCCAACCACACCUACAGAUCAUAGUAAGCUUAUAAGAAAUCAAUAAGCAACUCAUUAACAAAUUUUUGUCAAUGUUUACCACAUAAUCAUAAUCUCACUGCAAGCUGUCUUCCUGAACAACAAUCACUAAAUCAUUUAUAACUGGAGCUACGAAACUCCAAAUCAAGUGCCAUUAAUUUUACGUGAAAAUAGACUCAUAUAUCUUAUAUCCAUAAAAUUUUCAGAAUUUUUGGUUUAGCCAAUCAAUACCAUAUUUUUCUUAAAUUUUCCCAUGUUUCACUAUUUCACUAAUCUGACCACUCUUCAUUACGAAUCAAAUUUCUCAUUGUACAGAAUUCAAAAUAUGUUCUGGUUUACUUCAUUUGAAAAUAGACUCAUUAAUCUUUAAUUACAUAAUUUAUUCAGCUUCUAACUCAUCUCCCACAAUUUAUGGUGAUUUUCCAAAUUCACGUUACUGCUGCUGUCCAAAGCAGAUUUAUUACCAAAUCACUCUUUCACACAUAACUUGCAUGCAUGUUUUUUUGAAACAUGUAUAUCACCAAUCAAUCAUCACAUAUCUAUGAUUUUACUUAAGUAUAAUCUCCAUUUCAUCAUUUUAAAGCAUAACAUAUUAGCCGAUUUUUCCCCUUAGCAUCUAAGCACAUGCAUGCUCAUUUGUUUGGCUCAACUUCACAUAUCUUCCAUUUUUCAUCAAAAGAACAUGAAACAACAACCAUUUCCUUCAUUUUAAUUUAUGACCAAAUGAUCACAACACAACCAAAAACCAAAAUAUGCUUCAAGAGUUAAGGUAGAAUCAAGAAGAACUCAUGAACAUCAAGAUAGAAGCAAACUACCAUGAACUUACCUUCAAUUUUCUUCCCCAAGUGACCGAACAUUCAAGAGCUUUCUCCUCUCCUUUCUCUUCUCUAACUUUAGGCUAUGAUGAACAAAGAUGGACAAAACUUUGUUCUUUUCACCCCUUUUUUUAAAUAAAAUUUCAUAUUUCAUCCAUUUAAUUCUUUAAUACAAAAGACAUGAAAUUCUCAUCAUGGAACAUUUACCUAACCCAUUAUCAUGGACCAUUUACCUAACCCAUUAUCAAUUUGUAUCAAUUUGUACCAUAAAUUAUGGAUAUCAAGUGUACAUUUUGUCUACAACAACAUGAUGGCCGGCCACUUCAUGUAAAAUGGGGGGUUUGUCAUGCAAAUCCUCCUAUUUUGCACUCCUAUUUAUUUGGCCACUUCAAUUUAGCCUAUAGCAUUUUCAAACAUUUUCACAUAGGUCCUAUUUCAUAAUUUCACCCCCUUUUUUCUUAUGGAACAAAAAAUUAACUAAAAUUGCCGGGUUCUACUUAAGCUUGGGCCUUCUAGAGGCCCACUAACAUAAUUAAACCUAUGCCAACAUUCACAUAAUUCCUGAAAAUUGGGGCGUUACAAGUAGCAAGAGCAUUACAUAAUCCAAAAGGCAUUCGUCGAUAAGCAAACGUAUCGUAUGAACAUGUAAAUGUCGUUUUCUCUUGGUCUUCAGGAGUUAUUGGGAUCUAGAAGUAACUCGAGAGUCCAUCUAGGAAGCAAUAAUACAUAUGUCCAGAUAAUCUUUCCAACAUCUGAUCAAUGAAUGGUAAGGGGAAGUGAGCUUUUCUUGUGGCGUCGUUAAAUUUCCUAUAGUCAAUGCAGACUCUCCACCUCGUGACUGUUCAUGUUAGGAUCAAUUCAUUCUUCUCAUUAGCCAUAACAGUCAUGCCUCCUUUCUUAGGGACAACCUGCACAGGACUCACGCAAGAACUGUCAAAAAUAGGAUAAAUAAUUCUAGCAUCUAGAAGUUUAAUUACCUCAACUUUUACAACUUCUUUCAUGUUAGGAUUCAUUCGUCUUUGAGCUUGCACACAAGGUUUAUAUUCAUCUUCCAUUAAGAUUUUAUUUGUGUAGAAAGAAGGAUUGAUCCCUCUUAUGUCAGAAAUCUUCCAAGCUAUAGCUCUUUUAUGCUCCUUCAAUAUUUGAUGUAAUUCGCUCUUUUCAGUUGGCUGUAAAUCUGAAGCAAUGAUCAAUGAUGUGGAAUUAUUUCUGAGAAACGCAUAUUUUAGGUGAUUUGGUAGUUUCUUCAAUUCCAAUUUAGGAGGUUCUUCAACGGAGGGUUUUAAUUUUAAUGCAUUGUUUACCUCAAUACCCUCAUAGCUCUUCUGUCUUAGUGAAGGCUCAUUAGAAUUUAGUUCAGGUUUUGUCUUGCCUAUCGCAGAAUUGUCAUUAUUUACCUCCUCUCCUUGGGCAAGACACAGUUCCAACGUGUCCUUAUGUAUAAUUUCCUUAAAGGAAUCUUAAGUAGCAUGAUCAAUAGAAUCAAUAAAAUAACAGGAGUCAUCUUGUUCUCUAGAAAAUCUCAUGGCAUCAUAAAUUUUAAAAAUAAUAAUCUCUUCAUCACCUACCCUAAGCACAAGUUUACCGUCACCCACAUCAAUAACAGCCCUAGUAGUGGCUAAAAAUGAGCAACCUAGAAUUAAAGGCACCUCAACAUCCUCAUCCAUGUCAAGCACAACAAAAUCAACAGGAAAUAUUAAUUUAUCUACUUUUACGAGUACAUUCUCGAUAAUACCCCUAGGAUAUUUAACAGAUCUUUCGGUUAGUUGAAUCUCAUCCUAGUAGGUUUUGGUUCCCCAAGGCCAAGUUGCUUGAACAUUUUGUAGGGCAUCAAAUUAAUGCUAACGCCUAAAUCAGGUAGUGCCUUCUCAACAAUUAAACUACCAAUUAAGUAGGGAAUAGUAAAACUUCCUGGAUCUUUCAAUUUGGUUGGUAGUUUAUUUUGAAGUAUGGCCGAGCACUCCUCGUUGAGUUUUACUGUAGACAACUCUUCAAACUUCCUUUUAUUUGUUAAAAGCUCUUUCAAAAAUUUUGCAUAUGUAGGCAUCUACGAGAUAGCUUCAACAAAAGGUAAGUUAGUAUGUAGCUGUUUAAAAAGUUCAAGAAAUUUAUCGAAUUGUGCAUUCAUGCGGUCUUUCUUCAGCUUUCCUGGAUACGGGAUUGGUGGUUUAUAUUCCUUUAGUACUGGUUUUUCACUUAUUUCAUGUUUCACCCCCUCUUUCUCUUUUUUAUCAGUUUUUUGAGGCAACUUCUUUUCAGAUUCAGCUAACACUUUCCCACUCCUUAGGGUAACUGCUUUCACGUGCUCUUUUGGAUUAGGUUCGGUGUUGCUAAGUAGAGUCCCUAGUGGUCUUUCUGAAAUCAUCUUAGCCAGCUGUCCUAUUUGAUUCUCGAGCCAUUGAAUUGAUGCUUAUUGAUUUUUAAGUGCAGUUUUAGUAUUCUGAAAAUGGGUUUCUGCUACUGAAAUAAACUUUUCAUCAUCUCCUCAAGGUUCGGCUUUUUCUCUUGCUGGUAAGGUUAUUGUUGGAAGCCUAGAGGGGGUGGUGGUAUUUGAUUCCCUUGGCCUCCCCAUGAGAAAUUUAGGUGGUUCCUUCAACCUGCAUUGUAAGUGUUACUAUAAGGAUUAUUUUGAAGUAGAUAAAAGAAAAGUUAGUAAUUAAAAUAAAAACAAAAUUAAAUUGCAAUAAAAAUAAAAAUGGCUAAAGUAAUAAAAAUUAAGUGUUCCUAAUAUCUUAGUCCCCGGCAACAACGUCAAAAACUUGAUGGUCGCUAAACUAACUAAAAAUUUGAUUAAUGCAAGCGCACCUAUCGAACAAUAGUAAAGUUAAGGUGAAACCGGAAAUAUCAUACCCACAAGGACUAAAAGUAUUAGUAAUUACUAUCUUUUUACUAUCUAGCCUAAAAAUUGAAGGGAUGUUUUCUAAACUAAACUUAAUUAUCUAAUUAACUAAGAACGUGACAGAAAUAAAAGUGGGAAAAUAUUCUUUGGAAAACCGAUGGAGAAGACAAUAACCAAUGAAGAAUCCACCUAGGCUUCACUUAUUACUUCUGAAUUAGAUGAUUUAUUCACUUGACUUAAUCUGUAGAAAUCCCUGAUUUAUGUUAUUAUCUUUCUCGAGACUAAAAACAACUUACUCUAGAUUGAUUAAUUGAAAUCUCUUUCUAAUUAAAACCCCUAUUGUCGCAUUAACUCGACCUAUGGAUUCCCUUAUUAGAUUUGACUCUAAUCCGACAGAUUUAUGUCGUCCUAUCUCUAGGAUUGCAUGCAACUUCGCUUAAUUAUGGAGGAUCUACUCUUAAAUAGGGACUUUUGCUCCACUGAAUAAGUACAUCAAAACCUGAAUUAAUAACCUGAAAUAUUAAAACAAGGAUUAAAUCUCACACUUAAGAAUAAGAACAAGUAUUUAUCAUAUAAUUCAAAUAGUAAUAAGAUCCGUCUUAAGUUUCAACUUCCCUAGGUAUUUUGGGAAAUUAGUUCAUAAAAAUAAAGGAAAACAUCUCAAAAUUGGGAUAACAACAAAACAUAAAGAAACCCAAAGAACUUCUAAGGAAAUUGAAUGGAGAUCUUCAGUCUUGAAGGAGAUCCUGCUUCCGAGCUGAUUCCGAUGACUGUUCUUCGAGUAUUUUCUGCUUUCUACUCUGUGUCCCCCUUUUGAUCCUCUUCUAAGACGUUUAUAUAGACUUUGGAAUGCCCAAAAUAGCCCAAACUUAGCCUUUUCCGGGUAGAAUUAGACUUGAGCUCGACAAGGACACGGCCGUGUGACACACCCGUGUGAAGGUGCUCAGGCCGUCUGCAAUUCUGAAUUGGUUUAAUGUUGACACGGCCAUGACACACGGGCGUGUGGACUGGCCGUGUGUCACACACGGGCGUGUGAAUUACCCGUGUGGAAGUGCCUAGGCCGUGUGAAACACUGAAUUAGGCCAAUUUUGUCCCUUUUUGGCCCGUUUCUUGCUCCUUUUGCUAUCCUAAGCUCUCCUGAAUAUAAAACAUCAAAUUAAAUGAUUAGGAGCAUCAAAUUCAUUAAAUCUUGUGAUAAUCUUUCCAAAAAUAUGUCAAGCAUAGGGUAAAAAUAUGUAUAUAUAAAGGUUUAUCAUGAGUAGUUGGCUAGACUCCUUUAAUUGCAUUUUAAUUAUUUAGGGAUAACUUAAUCACUGACUCAUUUGGGUUCAAUUCUUGGAAUUCUCAAGUAUUCCAUUGAACAUUAUAAAUAUUACAACUGACAUGUCACACUUGCAGAUACGACAUUAUAUUGGAUUGUUUAUUGUUGAUUCUUUGUCCCGAUGUUCACUUACCGGUGGCAGAAACGAUCACUUUGAUGACUUGAUACUAGUUCAAAUUGGCAUAAACUUAAAAUAUUUAAUUUUUCAACAAUUUUUAAAUAUCAAAUCUCUAAUGAUGGUUUGACUUCAUAUAAGUAUAUAAAUUUUUAUUUUAAUUUUAUUCUAUUAUUGGGAAAAAGUUAUCAAAACUAAUUUCAUAUUUUAUUAUUUAAAAUAUAUAUUUUUUUAUUUUUACCUACUAAAGUUUUUUAAAAUUUUGGUUUAAGGGUGUACAAAAUCACUCAAUUUUUUUUAAAAAAUCAAUUAAGCCCCCCUUUUUUUUGCAUCUAAUUGCACCAUUGAACUGAAAAAUUACACUCAAUCAACCCCCUUAAUCGUUAACUUUGACGAUUCAUUUUUUAUUUUUAUUUUUUGGAUUAUGUUUGUCACGUGACACGUUAUAAUCGUGCUACAUGGUAUAAAUUAAUAUUUUCUUUUUAGAUUUGUAAUAAAUAUAAAUAAAAUAAUAAAUAAUAGUAAUAAUUAUAAAAAGGCUUAAAAUUAAAAAAAAUAGUAAAGAAAAUAUAGAAAUUUCUCCCAAUAACAUAAAAACCAAUAAGCAACUUAUGAAGAAUUACAAAAUUGAAACAACAUUUUGGCUUGGAUUAAGUCUAAUAAUUGUCAUUUUAUCGGAGUUAACAUUCACGGUUUUGGGAGCAUUGCAAAUAAACGAAGUUUUUUUAUUCGUCCAAAUGUUAUAAAAUAUAAAGUAAAAACAUAAAGAGCAAACAACAAAGAAAAUGGGAGAGCAAAAAGUGAGCAUGUUUUAUUGAUCAAUGGAAAUCAUCUACAAUGUUUCUCCAAAGUCUACAUUUAUAGACAUAAGAAGUAUAAAUAAAAUAGAAUUCUACUUCUAAUGACUAUUAGAAUUUAAAAUACAUUAAAACUUAUCUUGAUGGACAUCACUUAAUAAUAAAAUAUUCGUAACACUCCCCCUUGGAGGUCCAUUGGUAGAUAAUGUGUUUCGUUAAAAUCUUAUUAAGAUAAAAACUCUAUAGGAAAAAAAAUCUUAGUGUAGGAAAAAGAUUACACAUAUCUAUAAUACGCAUAACAUGCUACCUAAUUAAAAAUCUUACCAGGAAAAUCCAAUGGGAAAAAACCUCGGUUAAGGAAAAAAGAGUGCAACGCGUAUUUACUCUCCCUCAUGAAAACAUCACAUAAUAUCUCAUAUUCUACGUAUUCAAUCUUGAAUACUAGCUUUUCAAAUGAUCAUUUGAAAGUAUUUGCUAAGCAUUUAUAUCACCAUUCUUUUGAAAGUCAUGAGUGAGCAAAAUUUUGGAGAAUAUAUUUGAUCUCUUUAGGAGUUUUAUUAAUAAUUAUAGCAAACUUUAAUAAUGAUUCUUCUAUAAAUAUACAAAAAGGUAUUUUGGAUAAUUUUAUUGUAAUAACCUAAGUUUGCCUGACCCAUGAAAUAAAUAAAUAAGGAAACAAAAACAAAAAUAAUAUUGAUCCUUUGUAAUAAGUUAAAUGCAUCAUCGCUUUUUUAAAAAAACUUUUAUAUUUCAUUUGAUCCGAAAGAAUUUAAAAAUAAGGCAAUGUUUUUUAGUACUUAGGAAUUCAGGAAGUAGUGCCCUAACAUGUUAAGUUGCGAUUUUCCGUUUGUCUAAAUGCCUAAAAUAUCCUUCUAAAUAAGUUUUGAAAAUCACAAGAUGAUUUCAGUUACGAAAGUUUAAGAAUAUCGUGUCCAAUCAUGUUGGAUGUGAUGUUCAUAUUCUUUUGAAGCGAAGGAAUCUUGAUUUUUUUAACUCAAAUUAUUACAGUUUUUUUUUAAAAAAAAGGAUCUUAUUUUUAAAUUCUUUCGAACUUUUGACAUCAAGACAGAAACGAUUAAACUUGGUACCAAUUUUGGGCGUUGCGAGGGUGCUCACCUUUCCUCGUACGUAAUGGACUCCCGAACCUAUUUUCUCAUAUUUUCGUAGACCAAAAUAUUUUAUAAGGUGAUCCAAUCACACCUAAAAAGGUUGGUGGCGACUCCCAUUUUCAAAAUACCUCCCUUUUUAAAAAAAGAGGUUUCGACAUUUAUAAUCCUCCUUCAACUACUAUUCACUAAUCCAAAUUUACCACAUAUUUUUAAAUCAUUUCAAUUCAUAUGAAUGAACAAUUUCCCCAGAAUUUCAAUAUGCUUCUAGCAUUCUAAAUCCUUCAAGGGUUUUAAUAUAAACCUACUAUAUAGUGAUUCGUAAAAGGUUGUAACAACAACCAUUAAACGCAAGUUAAAUCUUUUAUGAAUUGUUAGUUCAAUAACAUAUCUAAAGUUUAUUGCAUCCAGGACAAAAGAAUAUUAUAUCUUUUCAUAAUCAAUGUCUAGACUUAGUGAAAAACUUCAUUUUUUUAUUCCAUUUUUGCAAAACUACUUCAUUUAUACAUUCACUUGCUUUAUACCUUUAGAUUAUUUGGACUGUUGGUCCAAAAACUCUACAAAUUUAAUUGCGCUUGAGUUGCUUCUUUCUAUUUUGAUCAAUCUAUUCAAUAUCUAUAUUUCUCAAUAUAUUUAUUAAAGAUUUUCCUUUUAUUUCAUUAUUUCAACAAUAAUAUUGCAUGCAAAACCAUUUUCGACCAUAUUUAUUAUCGGUUCCACAUAUUCUUGAAUUACAUAACUUAUCGAGAUAUCUUUAUUUUCACUAUUUUAAUCUUCAGUUUUAGGUACCUAACUCUCUUCUGGAGUUUUAGUUAUUAGUCAUGUCUUGAGUCUCUUUUGGAGCACCUGCCUUCACUAUAUGAUCAUCUAGAAGAAUUUCCAUCUUUGGAACCUAUCAAUCUAUCAUUUAUUCUAACUGAUUGUCCUACUGAGACUUUGAUUCAAAUUAAAUAUUAGAUGGUAUAUAACACUUGGUUAUUCUCAUUAAGUUUGUAAAUACAUCUGACAGUUAACUUGUAAUAAAGUGAGUUAUCUUUUUUGAACUUAUAGUUCAAAUUACUCUGUAUAGGGAUCUAGAUAAUGACAACUCAUUACAAGCAAUGAUUUCAUUCAGCUAUUAUUUUGAAGAAGAUAUUAGGAUAUCUUUAAAGAAGAUAAAGGUCCAGAUUUUGAGACUUGGUCAGGCCGGGCAAAAUUAGGUCCUUUUAGUCUUUGCUCUAUUCCUAUUACGCAGUAAUGGGCAAAGAGCGGCAGCUAUAAUAACCUAAGUUUGCCCGACCCAUGAAAUUAAUAAAUAGGGAAAUAAAAAUAAAAAUAAUAAAGUCCCUUUACAGUCCAAAUAGGUGGCCCAAUUAGUCUAAGAACCCAAAUACCCGGUUACACCCAACCCACAAAUAGACAAGGCCCAAGAGGCCCAAACCACAAACAAAGAACGGAAGACCUAGGGUUUCUGAAACCCUUGGAGCCACAAACACCAGAUGAAGGCCCUAACUCACGCCGCAAUCGGUGUGCCACAGAUAGACUCGCGCCUCAUCUCGUGCCGUAAUCAGCGCACCAACCCCUCGUCACCGGAUCUUCACUCAUCUGCAAAAGGAAAGAAACAGCAGAAACAACGCAAACAUAAUGGGAAACAAAGAUUGUAAAUAUAUUUUCAGUGGCUAUAAAAGCCCGAAUCAAAAUAAUGUAAAGGGAUAUAUUUUUACAGAGAUAAAACAGAUACAGGCAUAUAUACAAUAAAAAUCAAGAAACAAAGGUGAUUUACUUUUACUUUAUUUUUGUUUUCGUUGUGAAUACCUACAAAUAUUGCUAAGAAUAUAAAAAAAGGGAUUUACCGGUGGAUUUAAGCUGAAAAUCAAAGCUUUUCAGCUUCUGGCCGCCGUAUCCGGCGAAGACGACGACGGCACGUGGGCGCGUGAGUCCGAUGACCUGGGCUUGGCCCGACGGAGGCUGGAGCUCGAAGGACUUCCUCUCUUUUCCUCUUUCAGACGAUUGCUGUUCUUUUUUUUAAAAAACCAGGGGCUAAAAUUAUUUUUUAGUUUUUUUUUACAUUUAUAAGCGACCUGUACGACGUCGUUUUGGGAUGACCGUUUAGUGACCAAAACCGUGUCGUUUCAGGGCUGAGGAGCCGCGCGUUGACCCGUGACCCAGGGAGGAUCCGCGCGUUUUUGGUAAAUGGGCAAAUUGCUAUUUGAGCCCUUCCGCAUUUUUCAUUUUUUUAAAUGUCGUUUAAUUCUAAAUUUCUCUAUUUUUAAAUCUAGCCCUAAUAGUUUGUUUCUGUUUCAAUUUGGUUCCUGAACCCUUUAAGAUGUAAUUCUCGAAACGGCGCCGUUUUGGGAUUAGGGAUAAUUGCCCAAUGAGUCCCUCGUGUUUUGGCGCACGCUUCAAUUGGAUUCAAAAUUCAUUUUAUUUUAAAAUUAACCCUAUAGUUUUGUUUUUAUUUCAUUUUAAUCCCUUUUUUAUAAUUUAUUUAUUUUAAAUAUAAUAUAAAAAUUUUAUUUUUACUAUAAACAUUAUUUAUAUAUGAAAAAUUAUUAUAUAUAUUAUUUUUAUUUUUAUUUGUGUAUUAUUUGUGAUAUCAUUUAUAUUUUAUUAUAUAUUUUGUUUUAUACAUUUUAUUAUAUAUUAUUUUAUUAUAUAUAUUAUUCACUAUAUUAUUGUUAUUUUAUUAUAUAUUAUAAUUAUUCAUUAUUCAUUAUUUUAUAAUUUUAAAAAUGUGUAAAUUAUUAUUAAAUAUUGCAUUUUUAUAUAUCAUUAUUAAAAUUUAGUAUGUAAUACACCAAAAUUUAUGAUAAACUUUUAUUCCUAUUAUAUAAUAUUAUUCUAUAAAACAUAUUAAAUUAUUACAUCAUAUAGUAUAUUUUUAUUAAAAUUUAGUAUGUAAUACACUAAAAUUUAUGAUAAAUUUUUAUUCCUAUUAUAUAAUAUUAUUCUAUAAAACAUAUUAAAUUAUUACAUCAUAUAGUAUAUUUUUAUUAAUCAUUUAUAAAAUUUUCUUCUUUAUUAUUUAUCUAUGGUUUUAAAUAUUUUAAAAAUACCUCAUUUAUUUAUUUUAUUUUUGUGUUUAUAAGUUUUUAUUUAUUUUUGCGUCCUUUUGGAUUUAUUUAGUAUCGUUUUAAUAUGUUCUAAAAAAAUAUUUGUAUUUUUUAUGUUGUUCAUUGUUUAUAUAUAUUUGCAUGAAAAUUGACUAUUUAUGUUGUUAUUUUAAGUUACAUUUGUAUGUAAUAUAUUAAUAUAUAUUAUGCAAUUUAUAUUGCUAUAUUCAUUAUGCUCUAUGUUGUAUUUUGCACGUAACGAUAAUGCAUGUAUAUUUAUGUUAUUUAUGAUUAUAUAUGCAUAAAAUGAUAAUGUAUAUUAUGUAAUUUAUGUCAUUAUUUAUCAUUUUUAUAUUAUAUUUGCAUGGAAUGUUAAAGUAGGUAUCAUGUAGGUUAAUUUAUUUAAUAUUGAUCCUUUGUAAUAAGUUAAAUGCAUCAUCGCUUUUUUAAAAAAAACUUUUAUAUUUCAUUUGAUCCGAAAGAAUUUAAAAAUAAGGCAAUAUUUUUUGGUACUUAGGAAUUCGGGAAGUAGUGCCCUAACAUGCUGAGUUGCGAUUUCCCGUUUGUCUAAAUGCCUAAAAUAUCCUUCUAAAUAAGUUUUGAAAAUCACAAGAUGAUUUCAGUUACGAAAGUUUAAGAAUAUCGUGUCCAAUCAUGUUGGAUGUGAUGUUCAUAUUCUUUUGAAGCAAAUGAAUCUUGAUUUUUUUAACUCCAAUUAUUACAGUUUUUUUUUUAAAAAAGGAUCUUAUUUUUAAAUUCUUUCGAACUUUUGACAUCAAGACAAAAACGAUUAAACUUGGUACCAAUUUUGGGCGUUGCAAGGGUGCUCACCCUUCCUCGUACGUAAUAGACUCUCGAACAUAUUUUCUUAUAUUUUCGUAGACCAAAAUGUUUUAUAAGGUGAUCCAAUCACACCUAAAAAGGUUGGUGGCGACUCCCAUUUUCAAAAUACCUCCCUUUUUAAAAAAAGAUGUUUCGACAGCUUGGCGACUCCACUGGGGACUUUAUAAGAGAGUCAAGCCAAGAAAUUUUUUUUGUUUGUCUUAAUGUCAAAAGUUUGGAAAAAUUUUAAAAUAUCAAUCUUUUACAUGUGUUUGCUGCAUAUGUUUGUAUUUUGAUUUCGCACUCAUUGGAUUUGCAUGACUGCUGUGGUCACACCCUUAAGUGGGCGUGCGAAGCUACGCUUUCGUGAGGUUUUCACCUCCGUAUGGGCUAGUGGAUUGCUUCCGGGAUACAUCUGUUGUUAUGUCUUCGUGAGAUUUUCAUCUCCGUAUGGUCAUAGGGAAAUGUGUUCCCCUGAACUGAACUUAGUCCAUAUGAGCCUAUAAUGGGUGAGGACCGAGGAAUCUGCUAGUUCAGGUACCCUUGCUUUAAAACUGAAACGCAUAUAGUGAACUUUAAGUGCUUACCCUAGGGAGUAUUGUGAUAGCUUUAGUAAGCUACCCUUAUAAUUGCUUGUUUGUUAUACUUUUAUAUGAUACUGACUCACUUUAUUUUGCUAUCAUUGCAUGUCACUCAACAUUUAAAAGUGUCGAUUCACGAUUCAAUUUCUAGAUUAGAAAGUUUUGUAAUGAGAAACGAAUAUCUUGUUAAAGUGGAGGACAAUGCUUCUGUCUGUGCAUGGUCAGAGAAAACCCAGUUAGAGAAAGUAGAUAGUGUCACUGAGGGGUAUACAUCAGAGUUGUGGGACUUCACUCGUAUAAGUUCAACACAGAAUGAGUUUCAGGAGUUGAAGGACAUUUAGGCCCAAUGGGAUGACGAGGCCAAACAGCUGUUCUACCAGAAUUAUGGAGAUCUUCCCUAUUUGCUAGACAUCAAGGUGGAUAAGCAUCUGUUUCGAGCUAUGGUACAGUUUUGAAACCCUGCUUAUAGUUGUUUUACAUUUGGAGAGGUAGACUUAGUACCUACUUUGGAGGAGUAUACAACCUUGUUUCACUGUCCAAAAAUUCAAGGUAACAAAGCGUAUGUUAGGGCUGCUAAUCCCCCAACUUUCAUGAAGAAAUUAAUGAUGAUUACAGGGGUGAGUGAACAGUGGGCUGCAGCUCGAGACCAACAAAAGGGUGAUAGUAAAUGCAUUCCGUGGGCAAGUUUGAGGGAUUUGAUAGUGGCACACCCAGAUGUGAAGAAGAGGGUUGAUGUCUUGGCCUUAAGUAUGUAUGGUUUAAUGAUUUUUCCAAAAGCUAUGGGGCACAUAGAUGAGGCAGUUGCAGAUUUAUUCGAUCGACUUAGUAAACAGAACACACCUGUGCUUGUAAUCCUAGCCGAGACGUUUAGAUCCUUGAGUACAUGUCAGAGAGCUGGUGAAGGUAGAUUCAUUGGAUGUGCACAGUUGUUGUUAGUGUGGUUCCAUAGUCACUUUUGGAAGGUUUAUAAGGUUCCUUGCCAAGUGUUCUUUGAGGACUAUUCUCCCUUAAGGGAAGCUGUAGCUACGCUGAGGAGGGACGACAUUAUAGAGGAAAGAUGGAUGAAAAUAGUUCAGAAUCUCCGAGAGGAAGAUGUAAUGUCGAAAGCUCCUUGGAUGGCUCCUAAUGAAGUCCUUUAUCAUUGUGGAAGUUUUGAUUGGGUACAUCUUCCUAGAAUUUAGGGAGUCGUUGGUUAUGCACCAUUACUCAUCCUAAGGCAAUACAAAGCGGGGCAGUUUAUACCGGCAACACAAGGGUUAGCUCAGAGUGAUUUCUCAUAUAAGAGGGAUCAUUAUAAGAAGAAGAUGCGAGAGAUUUCCAAGGCUUGGAAGAAAGUUUGCUGUGUGAAGAUUCUAACUGAAGGACUGACGACAACCCUUUGAUACAAAGAGUGGUUUAAUAAGAGGAUCAAUGAUAAUAUCCCUAGGCCAAGUUUGGGGGCUGCCCGAUCAAUGGAGGAGAGUUUACGAGUGAUUCCAUCAGAGUUGGAAGUUAUAAAGCAAGAGUUUGAAAGGAAGAAUUUAGAGCUUGGGAGAAAGAUAGAGAAGCUUGAGGAGGAGAAGAUGUACCUGAGCUUAGACGUCGACGUUCAUAGAAUUGAGGUCGAAAAAGAGAAGAAAAGAGGAAGAUUGAGGAAGACUGAGAUGACUUGAAGACGCAAUAUAAGAGGAUACAAUUAUCAAUGAAAAGAGCUGGAUUGGGGAAGUCUUCAGAGCAGUGGCAACAAGAGGUUCAAGAAGAAAAAGCCAAAGCCAAGUAUUGGGAGAAGAAGUUCCAAGAGAUGCAGGCAUGUAAUCAGGCCCUGGAGAAGGAGAAUCAAAGAUUAAAAACUAAGGUGACUGAGCUUGGACGAUCUCUUCAUCAUCACCGAAGUCGUAACUCUGCAGUCGAGUUAAAGGCAAGUCUGGAUAAGAUCGAGGAAAUGAAGCACAAUAUUAGAGGGAUGGAAGCAGCAUUGCAGGACUGUGAGCUAUGGAUUGAGCAGCCCGAGGCAAGAGAAGAACAUUGGAAGGGAGAGCUUUACCAUUUUCAGGAUCAAGUCAGAGAUAGGGACUACCUCAUAGGAGAAGCUAUAGUAUAGAUUCGAGAGGUUGCUGAUCAUUCGCAAGACUUGGCAACGCAAGCUAAUGUAUUGAGUACAAAGUAUGAGUUAGUGUCAGAUAGAAGUCUAGAGUUAGCUUUGUUAUUGGAUAGGGUUAAAACUCUGGGCCUGAGGGCGAAGGCGUAUUUGUAAUCCGUUUUGUGUAAAGAUUUUUGUUUCUUAAAUAACAUUUUCUAAAAGAAACUGAAUCAGAAUCGAUAUCUUUUUACAUUUAUGCAUUUUCAUCUCAUCGUAUCAUAUGCAUUCAAAUUUAUAGAAAGACCCUAAUUAGUUAAAUUAUAAAAGGAGAAAGAAAGUGAGAGAAAGAGGAAAUCUGGAAGCAAUACAUCCUUACGGUACACACACCAAGACAAAGAAUAUGGAUCAAAGACUUGAGCAGAUCCAGAAAGAAAUGCAAGAGCAAUUACAGGAACAAUUGGCAAAAAUCCAACAGGAGAUGAAAGAUCAAAUGUUGGAGGCCCAAAAGAAUAUGAUGGUUGAAAUGGCUCAGCUGUUGAAAGGGGCAACAGAUAAAGGAAAGGCCCUUAUGACUAUCACUGAAGAAGAUAAUGAGGACCAUCCUCCGGGUUUUACUCUACCCUAUGUACAAACUCAAACUGAGGCGUAUCCCCGAAGGCCGUCUAUCACAAUAAGAUCGCAACAUGGGCAAGUUGAUGCUAGAAUACCCAUGAAUUUUCAAACUGGCUCAGGAUUUAAUCCAGGAGAUAAUCCUACCAAUCCAGUCAUCCCUGAUUUAGAUGUAGCGGAGAAGGAAGAGAUAAGACUCGAAUCAUCACGGCAAUUAGAGGAACGUUGCAGAUGAUUAGAGGAGAAAUUUAAGGCAUUAGAAAACACUGAUAAUCAUCAAGGAAUUGAUGCUAAGGACUUGAGUUUGGUCCCAGAUUUGGUGCUUCCUCAUAAGUUCAAGAUGCCGGAAUUUGAGAAGUACACUGGGACUACUUGCCCUGAGGCCUAUAUCACCAUGUUCUGUAGGCGGAUGACUGGCUAUGUAAACAAUGAUCAAUUAUUGAUCCAUUAUUUUCAAGACAGUUUGGUUGGGACAGCAGCUAGGUGGUACAAUCAAUUGAGUCGCGCAAGGAUUGGUUCCUGGAGAGACUUAGCACAAGCCUUUAUGCAGCAGUAUAAUCAUGUGACUGAUAUGACUCCUGAUAGAAUCACUUUGCAAAACAUGGAAAAGAAGCCUAAUGAGAGCUUUAGGCAAUAUGCGCAGAGAUGGAGGGAGGUUGCCAUGCAAGUUCAACCACCGCUUUUGGAGAAAGAGACUAUCAUGCUAUUCAUUAACACCUUGAAUGCCCCAUUCAUUACUCAUAUGAUUGGAAGUACCACCAAAAGCUUCGCUGAUAUAGUUAUGGCAGGAGAAAUGAUUGAAAAUGCCAUAAGGGGUGGCAAGAUAGAGGGGGAAGCUGUUAAAAGAUCGGCCCCAAGAAGGAAAGAUAAUGAAGUGAAUAAUAUGAAUAGUUAUAAUUCGAAGGCAAUUACGAUUAGUCAGCCCAAAGCAACUACAGUUGGGCAACAGGAUUCCCAAAAGCAAAGAUCUGGUUCAAAAUAAAAUUUUGAAAAGGUCUCAUUUACACCUAUCCUAGUGACAUAUCGAGAGCUUUAUCAAAAUUUAUUCAAUGCGCAUGCAAUAGCUCCUUUUCAUUUGAAACCGUUACAACCCCCAUAUCCCAAAUGGUAUGAUGCAAACGCCAAAUGUGAAUACCAUGCGGGGAUAUCGGGGCAUUCAAUCGAAAAUUGCACUGGUUUUAAAAAGGCAGUGGAAAGACUAAUCAAGAUGGGGGUCGUAAAAUUUGACAACACCCCUAGUACAAAGAACCCAUUGCCAAACCAUGGUGAUCAAGGGGUAAACACAAUUGGAGACACUGGUAUGAGAAGGAUCAAAGAAGACGUGGCUGAGGUAAGAAUGCCGAUGAAAGUAAUCUAGGAAGAAAUGGUGAAAAGAGAAAUGAUAAUCUCUCAAGAAAGAAGUAAAGGAGUGAGGGACUACUGCGAGUUCCAUACAGAAGAGGGACAUGAAAUCCAGAAAUGUGACGAGUUUAAGGCUUUGGUACAAAGCCUUAUGGAUAAUAAGGAGCUGGAAUUUUAUGAAGCUGGCUCAGAUGAGGGUCAUGUAUGCGCAUUGGAAGGGGAACCCAAAAAUCAAAGAAUCAACCGUCCAAGGAUCAUUAUUUCUCUACCAAGGAAUAGUGAAGUUGAAAUACAAACAGCACCGAAAGUCAUUAUUCACAAACCUGUUUCCUUUCCUUAUAAGGAUAAUAAGAGGGUACCCUAGAAUUAUGACUGCAAUGUGACAAUGCCGGAGAAAAAGGAUAUAGCCAGUACUUCUAAGGAGGUUCAAGAUGAGGGUUCUUAUACAUAUAGUGGGAAGCGUUAUGAUGUAAAAGGUGUCAGAGUUAAACCCGCAAAAGCAAAAGCCUUUGACAAAGGAAAAGGGGCUAAAAUACUGGUUAAUGAGCUAGUGAAGGAAGAAAAAGCCCAAGAGUUUCUAAAAUUCUUAAAACACAGUGAGUACAGCAUGGUUGAACAAUUGCGUAAACAACCAGCUCGUAUAUCAGUAUUGGCUUUGCUCCUAAGUUCAGAGGUACAUAGGGAAGCAUUGAUGAAGGUGCUCAAUGAGACUUACGUUACUAAUGAUAUAUCCGUCAAUAAGUUGGAUCGAUUGGUUAGUAACAUAAGUGCUGACAAUUUUAUCUAUUUUAAUGAUGAUGAAAUCCCACCAGGUGGCACAGUAUCAGCUAAAGCUUUACACAUUACCACUCGCUGUAAGGGGUAUACGUUGCCGAGUGUGCUUAUUGAUAAUGGAUCAGCCUUAAAUGUCUUGCCAUUAUCCACAUUGAACAAAUUGCUCAUAGACAGUUCUCACAUGAAAACAUGCCAUAAUGUAGUGAGAGCAUUUGAUGGCACGGAAAGAAAGGUCAUGGGAAGAAUUGAUAUUCCUUUGAUGAUGGGUCAAACACUUAUGAGGUGGACUUUUUAGUGAUAGACAUCAAGCCCUCUUACAAUUGCCUGUUGGGGAGGCCUUGGAUACACUCGGUAGGAGCGGUGCCCUCAUCUUUGCACCAGAAAUUGAAGUUAGUAGCUGAUGAACGGUUGGUACCAUAAAUGCGGAGGAGGACAUCAUAGUGACAGUUACAAGUGACGUACCCUAUGUAGAAGCAAACGAGGAGGCCAUUGAAUGCUCUUUUCGUUCAUUAGAAUUCGUUAAUGCAACAUUCAUUUCAGAAGGAAAUGAGGUGCCGGUGCCCAAGAUAUCCAGAACUACAAGAAUGAGUUUGCAGCUAACAAUGGGGAGAGGAACCUUGCCAGGAAAAGGAUUGGGAAGCUAUCUUCAAGGAGGGAUUCAAAUUCUAGAACUAAAGGAGAAGAGAAACCAUUUUGGCUUGGGAUUUAGGCCAAAUCACAAGCAGAGGAGGAAGGAAACAGAAAAGCGUCAAGAAAGAAGAAGGACGAGUUUAAGUGGAAGAGAAAUAGAGUGGGAAUUGAUUACGUUCCCUCAUAUAUCCCAAACCUUUAUAUCGGGAGGGAUAAUUCACCCUGAGAGAGGGUUGCUCGAAAAAGGAAGUUAUCACAUCAAUGUUGUACAUAGUGAAAAGUCUGAAUGAAGAAACCUUGAGGGCAUUCGCCCUUACGAACCAAGAAGCUCUUUAAACAAUUGGAUUGCAGAAGAACUUCCUGUAGUUUUUAAAGACUUUUCAGAGUAAUUUUCGGAACACUCUCGUUGCUCUAGAGCCUAGGAGUAAUAAGGUUUCGUUUGUAAAAUAGGCUCAUGUUCGAAUAUUUGCAUUUCAAUAAAACAUGACUUUUGUUAUCAAUCCAAGUGAAUAUUCUUUUAUACCGAUUAAUAUUCUUUUGACCUUUCUAAAUUCUUUUAAAUUUUUUAUUUCAUACAUAACACAUAAAUAAACAUUCUUAAAAUUCAUUCAUUCUUUGUACAUUUUUUCGUACCCCGCAGGUCUCUAGAUAUCAAUGACAUGAGCACUGAUACUACAAAUCCUGAAUUCUCUUUUGAGCAAGACAUGUGUGUAGAAGAACCUCAAGAUUUUGAAGAUGAUGGGAAUUGUGAUAUGUCUCCAGAUCUGUUGAGAAUAAUGAAACAAGAGGAGAAACAAAUCCUACACCGUGAGAAAGAGGCAAUAGAGAAUAUAGUCUUGGAGGAAGGAAAAGAGGUGAAAAUAGGGACACAUAUUGCAAAGGAAACGAGACAAGGUCUUUUCGAGCUACUACGUGAAUUCAAAAAUAUCUUUGCAUGGUCAUAUGAGGAUAUGCCGGGUUUGAACAUUGAUAUCGUGGUACAUCAUCUCCCCAUAAGACAAGAUUGCAAGCUAGUCCAACAAAAAUUGCGAAGGAUGAGGCCUGAUAUUGUGCUGAAAAUAAAAGAUGAAGUCAAGAAGCAGUUUGAUGCUAGAUUCCUACUAGAGGUUAAGUAUUCAGAAUGGGUGGCUAACAUUGUGCUUGUCCCUAAGAAGGAUGGGAAGGUACGAAUGUGUUGAUUACAGAGAUCUGAACAAAGCUAGCCCAAAGGACAACUUUCCUUUACCGCACAUCGACACUUUGGUGGAUAAUACAGCGGGAUAUUUAUUGUUUUCUUUUAUGAAUGGCUUCUCAGGGUACAAUCAGAUAAAGAUGCAUCCUGAGGACAUGGAUAAAACUACCUUUAUAACAUUAUGGGGCACCUUUUGUUACAAGGUAAUGCCCUUCGGGUUAAAGAAUGCAAGGGCAACAUACCAAAGAGCUAUGGUGACCUUAUUUCACGAUAUGAUGCACAAGGAGAUUGAAGUGUAUGUUGAUGACAUGAUUGCUAAAUCUCGAACAGAGACGGAACAUAUUAAAGUCUUGAGGAAGUUGUUCCUGAGAUUAAGGAAGUUUCAGUUGAAGCUUAAUCUGACAAAGUGCAUUUACGGAGCUAGGUCGGGGAAAUUAUUGGGCAUUGUGGUCAGCAAAAAGGGAAUAGAAGUUGACUCAGACAAGGUUAGAGCCAUACGAGAAUUGCCUCCACCACGUACUCAAAAGGAAGUUCGGGGUUUUCUUGGAAGAUUAAAUUAUAUUGCUCGAUUUAUUUCACAAUUAACCGAGAAAUGUGAUCCUAUAUUUCGCCUCCUUAGAAAACACAACCAAGGUACAUAAGAUGAGGAAUGCCAUAAUGCUUUUGAUAAGGCUAAGCAAUACUUGUUAAAUGCUCCAGUAUUAUCUCUGCCCAGUCCAGAUAGACUAUUAAUUCUAUACUUAUCAGUGUUUAGUAAUUCUAUGGGGUGUGUGCUUGGUCAACGUGACGAGUCAGGAAGAAAAGAGAAGGCGAUAUAUUAUCUCAGCAAGAAAUUCACAGAGUGUGAGAUGAGAUAUUUGCCAAUUGAAAAGUUGUAUUGUGCUUUGAUCUGGACUACUCAAAGGUUGAGGCAAUAUAUGCUAUAUCAUACGACUUGGUUAAUUUCAGAACUUGAUCCAUUAAAGUACAUGAUGGAGUCAAUAGCCCUAAAUGGAAGAAUGGCAAGGUGGCAAGUACUGCUUUCAGAAUUUGAUCUAGUCUAUGUGAGUCAAAAGGCUAUAAAAAGGAGCGCGAUAGCAGAAUUUAUGGCUAGCAGAGCUCUAGAAGAUUAUGAGCCAUUAAGCUUUGAUUUCCCUAAUGAGGAGUUGAUGUACGUGGCAACUAUUGAAGAACGUCCAUGGAAGUUAAACUUUGACGGUGCAUCCAACGCGGUAAGAAAUGGAAUUAAGGCAGUCUUGGUAUCCCCAAAUGGUGAUCAUUAUCCAUUUACAUGUAAAUUGGAUUUUGACUGUACGAACAAUAUGGCCGAGUAUGAAGCAUGCAUCAUGGGGAUUCGAGCAGCCAAAGAGUAAAAAAUUAGAACCCUGGAAGUAUAUGGAGACUCUGCGUUGGUAAUAUACCAGCUUAAGGGUGAAUGGGAGACAAAGGACCCAAAUUGAUUCAUUAUCGAAAGGUAGUUUUGGAGUUACUUGAGGAGUUUGAUAAUAUCACCUUCAAUUAUCUCCCACGAGAUGAAAAUCAGAUGGCAGAUGUUUUAGCAACACUGGCUUUCAUGAUUAAAGCAAAUAAACAAGAGGAUGUUAGACCAAUUCAGAUGAGUAUUUCUGAGGUUCCAGCUCAUUGCUAUAACAUCGAAGAAGAGGAAAAGGAUGACCAUCCUUGGUAUCAAGAUAUAUUACGAUAUGUAAGAAAUCGUGAAUAUCCUGAACAGGCAACUGAGAAUGAUAAAAGAACUUUAAGGAGGUUAGCCUGCGAAUAUGUACUAGAUGGGGACAUCCUUUAUAAAAGAAGGAAAGAUCAGGUACUUUUGAGAUGCGUUAAUGCUGUGGAAGCUAGACAAAUCCUGGAAUAAGUACAUGAAGGUGUUUGUGGGACACAUACUAAUGGCUUUACGAUGGCAAGGCAAAUAAUGAGGUUUGGAUACUAUUGGUCUACUAUAGAAGGGGAUUGUAUCAGCUAUGCUAAGAAAUGUCAUAAAUUCCAGAUAUAUGGAGACAAGAUUCAUGUACCACAUUCACCUUUACAUGUUAUGACUUCUCCAUGGCCCUUUUCCAUGUGGGGCAUGGAUGUUAUUGGGCCAAUAUCACCAAAAGCUUCGAAUGGGCGUCGUUUCAUUUUCGUGGUCAUCGACUACUUCACGAAAUGGGUAGAGGCAACUUCAUAUGCUAAUGUUACCAAGUCGGCAGUAAGUCGAUUCUUGAAAAAGGAGAUUAUUUGUCGGUAUGGAAUGCCUGAGAAAAUCAUAUUGGACAAUGCGUUGAAUUUGAAUAACAGCACAAUAGCGGAAGUUUGCAACCAGUUCAAGAUUAAACAUCAUAAUUCAUCUCCAUAUCGCCCAAAAAUGAAUGGGCAGUGGAAGCUGCCAACAAAAACAUCAAGAAGAUAUUGGGGAAAAUGACUGAAACCUACAGAGAUUGGCAUGAGAAAUUACCAUUUGCACUCUUAGCCUAUCGAACAUCCGUCAGAACCUCUACUGGGGCAACUCCUUUCUCGUUGGUUUAUGGGAUGGAGGCAGUGUUACCCAUUGAAGUAGAAAUACCUUCUCUUCGAAUUUUGUCAGAGAUAAAGCUGGAUGAAGCAGAAUGGAUUCAAGCGCGGUAUGACCAAUUAAACUUGAUUGAAGAAAAGAGGCUAAGGGCUAUUCAUCAUGGUCAGAUGUAUCAGAAGCGAAUGAUGCGAGCCUACGACAAAAAAUUUCGUCCAAGAGAAUUCCACGAAGGGGAUCUUGUAUUGAAAAAGAUUCUUCCCAUACAGAGGGACUUUAGAGAAAAAUGGAUGCCGACUUGGGAAGGACCAUAUUUUGUGAAGAAAACUUACUUUGGUGGUGUACUGAUUUUGAAAGAAAUGGAUGGGAAGAGUUUACCCAAUCUAGUGAAUUCAAACUCAGUCAAUAAGUACUUUCUCUAAAAGAGAGGGGAAUCCAAGGUGAAAACCCAUAAAGGGCGCUUUGAGAUUUCUAAAAAAUAAAUAAAAAAAUAAAAAAUAUAUAAAAAUAAAAAUGGAGAGGCCAAGGUGAAAACCCGUAAAAGGCACCAUACCGGAUUUGACAAGAAGUGGAGUGUGCUACAUACCGGGGUAUUAACAAAGUACUUUGGAUCUUCUAAACACAUGUUAAACUCAAAACAAUCUUCAUGGAAUUUGUAUACAGAAGCCCAAGCUGUGAUAUGUUGGACAUCUGAUUUUUGUCCUAUUUACUAUCUUUGGAUUCUUUUUCUUCUCAAAAACAUGUUUUCAGAUUAAUUUCCUAAUUGUAUUUUGAUGAUUUAUCUAACCAUUCUCAAGAUUAAAUUAUUUGUCUCCCAUUAUUCAUAAAGUGUGUUGCAUUGAAAUAACGAUUGAUGAACUAAAUAUUUUUACAAAUAAAGUUUUGCAUAUUACUCUGGAAAUCUCUAGAGAAUACAAGAAACUAAAACAAAACAAUUGUUUGAAGAAUUCCCAAGAGUGAGGGCCGGAGGUACUGAGGAAACUUCUUAUUCAGUCCAAAGGAUGAUUGGACAAUUCAAAUGAUUCAAUCCUAGGAGAGGAUCGUCUCCAGCAGGUCGUAACAUUCGAAGAAUGGUACAAUAAGACCAAUUUGAUUUAAAGCAUACGAGCAGAGUAUGAUUGAUAUUUCAAAAAAAGAUGAAACUCGGAUGGAGGAAUGAAUAAAGGCGUCCGAAAUAGGAAUCAUUUUCAUAACAUUUUGCAUCAUGAUAUGUUUAUUUAGGAGCAUUUGACUCAUUUCGAUCAUGGUACCCUAAGCAUUAGGCAUGAGCACAUACACAUUCUACAGGUUAUGUCCCUUAGAGGAUAAUGUAGAUCACCAGUCACAUCUGGCAUCUCUGUAUUGAUAGAGAGAAGAUUAAAGAUAGAAGAUUUGGCGUAUCUGUAUUAGACGGGGAGCAGAUCGAAGGAAAAUAUUUAGCGUCUUUGUAUUAACAGAGAGCAGAUCAAAGAAUGCACAUCUGGCAUCUCUGUAUUGACAAUGAGCAGAUUGAAGAUAGAAAAUUUGGUGUCUCUAUAUUAGACGGGGAGCAGAUCGAAGAAAAAGAUUUGGCGUCUCUGUAUUGACGGAUGGCAGAUCAAAGAAAGCACAUUUGGCAUCUCUGUAUUGACAGAGAGCAGAUUGAAGAUAGAAGAUUUGGCGUCUCUGUAUUAGACGGGGAGCAGAUCGAAGAAACCGAUUUGGUGUCUUUGUAUUGACGGAGAGCAAAGCAUAUCUGGCAUUUCUGUAUUGACAGAGAGCAGAUCAAAGAUAGCUGAUUUGGCGUCUUUGUAUUGACGGGGAGCAUAUCAAAAAUAGUAGAUCUGACAUUCGUGUAUUCACAUCGAAGCAGAUCAAAGAUGACAGAUUUGGCGUCUCUGUAUUAGACGAGGAACAGAGCAAAGAUAGCCAAUUUGGCGUCUCUGUAUUGACGGGGAGCAGAUCGAAGAUAGCAGAUCUGACAUUCGUGUAUUCACAUCGAAGCAAAUCAAAGAUGACAGAUUUGGCGUUUCUGUAUUAGACGAGGAACAGAUCGAAGAUGGAAAAUUUGGCAUUUCUAAUGAAGCAGUUCGAAGCUAUUAGGAUAUCUUUGAAGAAGAUAAAGGUCCAGAUUUUGAGACUUGGUCAGGCCGGGCAAAAUUAGGUUCUUUUAGUCUUUGCUCUAUUCCUAUUAUGCAGUAAUUAGCAAAGAGGGGCAACUGUAAUAACCUAAGUUUGUCCGACCCAUGAAAUAAGUAAAUAAGGAAAAAAAAAUAAAAAUAAUAAAGUCCCUUAACAGUCCAAAUAGGUGGCCCAAUUAGUCUAAGAACCCAAAUACCCGGUUACAUCCAACCCACAAAUAGACACGGCCCAAGAGGCCCAAACCACAAACAAAGAACGGAAGACCUAGGGUUUCUGAAACCCUCGGAGCCACAAGCACCAGACAAAGGCCCUAACUCACGCCGCAAUCAGUGUGCCACAGAUAGACUCGUGCCUCAUCUCGCGCCGUAAUCAGUGCACCAACCCCUCGUCACCGGAUCCUCACUCAUCUGCAAAAGGAAAAAAACAGCAGAAACAACGCAAACAUAGUGGGAAACAAAGAUUGUAAAUAUAUUUUCAGUGGCUAUAAAAGCCCAAAUCAAAAUAAUGUAAAUGGAUAUAUUUUUACAGAGAUAAAACAGAUACAGGCAUAUAUACAAUAAAAAUCAAGAAACAAAGGUGAUUUACUUUUACUUUAUUUUUGUUUUCGUUGUGAAUACAUACAAAUAUUGCUAAGAAUAUAAAAAAAGGGAUUUACUGAUGGAUUUGCGUUGAAAAUCGAAGAUUUUCAGCUUCUGGCCGCCGUAUCCGGUGGAGACGACGACGGCACGUGGGCACGUGAGUCUGAUGACCGGGGCUUGGCCCGACGGAGGCCGGAGCCCGGAGGACUUCCUCUCUUUUCCUCUUUCAGAGGAUUUCUGUUCUUUUUUUUAAAACCAGGGGCUAAAAUUAUUUUUUAGUGUUUUUUUACAUUUAUAAGCGACCUGUACGACGUCGUUUUGGGAUGACCGUUUAGUGACCAAAACAGUGUCGUUUUAGGGCUGAGGAUCCGCGCGUUGACCCAUGACCCGAGGAGGAUCCGCGCGUUUUUGGUAAAUGGGAAAAUUGCUGUUUGAGCCCUUCCGCAUUUUUCGUUUUUUUAAAUGUCGUUUAAUUCUAAAUUUCUCUAUUUUUAAAUCUAGCCCUAAUAGUUUGCUUCUGUUUCAAUUUGGUUCCUGAACCCUUUAAGAUGUAAUUCUCGAAACGGCGUAGUUUUGGGAUUAAGGAUAAUUGCCCAAUGAGUCCCUCGUGUUUUGGCGCACACUUCAAUUGGAUUCAAAAUUCAUUUUAUUUUAAAAUUAACCCUCUAGUUUUGUUUUUAUUCCAUUUUAAUCCCUUUUUUAUAAUUUAUUUAUUUUAAAUAUAAUAUACAAUAUUUAUUUUUACUAUAAACAUUAUUUAUAUAUGAAAAAUUAUUAUAUAUAUUAUUUUUAUUUGUGUAUUAUUUGUUAUAUCAUUUAUAUUUUAUUAUAUAUUUUGAUUUAUACAUUUUAUUAUAUAUUAUUUUAUUAUAUAUAUUAUUCACUAUAUUAUUGUUAUUUUAUUAUAUAUUAUAAUUAUUCAUUAUUCAUUAUUAUAUAAUUUUAAAAAUGUGUAAAUUAUUAUUAAAUAUUGCAUUUUUAUAUAUCAUUAUUAAAAUUUAGUAUGUAAUACACUAAAAUUUAUGAUAAAGUUUUAUUCCUAUUAUAUAAUAUUAUUCUAUAAAACAUAUUAAAUUAUUACAUCAUAUAGUAUAUUUUUAUUAAUUAUAUAUAAAAUUUUCUUCUUUAUUAUUUAUCUAUGGUUUUAAAUAUUUUAAAAAUACCUCAUUUAUUUAUUUUAUUUUUAUGUUUAUAAGUUUUUAUUUAUUUUUGCGUCCUUUUGGAUUUAUUUAGUAUCGUUUUAAUAUGUUCUCAAAAAAUAUUUGUAUUUUUUAUGUUGUUCAUUGUUUAUAUAUAUUUGCAUGAAAAUUGACUAUUUAUGUUGUUAUUUUAAGUUAAAUUUGUAUGUAAUAUAUUAAUAUAUAUAUUAUGCAAUUUAUAUUGCUAUAUUCAUUAUGCUCUAUGUUGUAUUUUGCACGUAACGAUAAUGCAUGUAUAUUUAUGUUAUUUAUGAUUAUAUAUGCAUAAAAUGAUAAUGUAUAUUAUGUAAUUUAUGUCAUUAUUUAUCAUUUUUAUAUUAUAUUUGCAUGGAAUGUUAAAGUAGGUAUCAUGUAGGUUAAUUUAUUUAAUAUUGAUCCUUUGUAAUAAGUUAAAUGCAUCAUCGCUUUUUUAAAAAAACUUUUAUAUUUCAUUUGAUCCGAAAGAAUUUAAAAAUAAGGCAAUGUUUUUUGGUACUUAGGAAUUCGAGAAGUAGUGCCCUAACAUGCUAAGUUGCGAUUUUCCGUUUGUCUAAAUGCCUAAAAUAUCCUUCUAAAUAAGUUUUGAAAAUCACAAGAUGAUUUCAGUUACGAAAGUUUAAGAAUAUCGUUUCCAAUCAUGCUGGAUGUGAUGUUCAUAUUCUUUUGAAGCGAAGGAAUCUUGAUUUUUUUAACUCAAAUUAUUACAGUUUUUUUUAAAAAAAGGAUCUUAUUUUUAAAUUCUUUCGAACUUUUGACAUCAAGACAGAAACAAUUAAACUUGGUACCAAUUUUGGGCGUUGCGAGGGUGCUCACCUUUCCUCGUACGUAAUGGACUCCCGAACCUAUUUUCUCAUAUUUUCGUAGACCAAAAUGAUUUAUAAGGUGAUCCAAUCACACCUAAAAAGGUUGGUGGCGAUUCCCAUUUUCAAAAUACCUCCCUUUUUAAAAAAAGAGGUUUCGACAUUUAUAAUCCUCCUUCAACUACUAUUCACUAAGCCAAAUUUACCACAUAUUUUUAAAUUAUUUCAAUUCAUAUGAAUGAACAAUUUUCCCAGAAUUUCAAUAUGCUUCUAACAUUCUAAAUCCUUCAAGGGUUUUAAUAUAAACCUACUAUAUAGUGAUUCAUAAAAGGUUGUAACAACAACCAUUAAAUACAAGUUAAAUCUUUUAUGAAUUGUUAGUUCAAUAACAUAUCUAAAGUUUAUUGCAUCCAGGACAAAAGAAUAUUAUAUCUUUUCAUAAUCAAUGUCUAGACUUAGUGAAAAACUUCAUAUUUUUUAUUCCAUUUUUGCAAAACUACUUCAUUUAUACCUUCACUUGCUUUAUACCUUUAGAUUAUUUGGACUGUUGGUCCAAAAACUCUACAAAUUUAAUUGCGCUUGAGUUGCUUCUUUAUAUUUUGAUCAAUCUAUUCAAUAUCUAUAUUUCUCAAUAUAUUUAUUAAAGAUUUUCCUUUUAUUUCAUUAUUUCAACAAUAAUAUUGCAUGCAAACCAUUUUCGACCAUAUUUAUUAUCGGUUCCACAUAUUCUUGAAUUGACAUAACUUAUCGAGAUAUCUUUAUUUUCACUAUUUUAAUCUUCAGUUUUAGGUACAUGAAUCUCUUCUAGAGUUUUAGUUAUUAGUCAUGUCUUGAGUCUCUUUUGGAGCACCUGCCUCCACUAUAUGAUCAUCUAGAAGAAUUUUCAUCUUUGGAACCUAUCAAUCUAUCAUUUAUUCUAACCGAUUGUCCUACUGAGACUAUGAUUCAAAUUAAAUAUUAGAUGGUAUAUAACACUUGGUUAUUCUCAUUAAGUUUGUAAAUACAUCUGACAGUUAACUUGUAAUAAAGUGAGUUAUCCUUUUUGAACUUAUAGUUCAAAUUACUCUGUAUAAGGAUCUAGAUAAUGACAACUCAUUACAAGCAAUGAUUUCAUUCAGCUAUUAUUUUUCUCCCCUAAUAUCGGAAAAAUUAUCAAAUCAAAAUAGUAAUCACAAAUCAUAUCAUAAUUGAAUCUCCAAUACAUCCAAAACAUCUAAUAAUACAAGGAGGCUCAGAAUUAAUAUAUAUUCCCAAUUUUCUUUGAGGAUUCACUCAUCUUUGUGCGUUGUGAUGGAGUAAUUGGAACAUAUACGCAAAUAUAAAAAUUCAAAGAAAGGAAAUAUUUAAAUCUUGACCAAAAACCAAUUGUUAUGGGGAAUAUUUAUAACUUAUUGGUUUGAUGCGUACAACACAUAAAUCAACAUAAUCUCAUGUUAAAAUAGGAAGUUUAGUUCCCAUAAGUAAUGGUUUAGAUAUUACCUAGAGGCGUACAAUCAAUUAUUUCUCUAAAUCAUUAUGCGCAUAAAUAACAAGCUUUUACAAAAGCUUUUGAAACUCAAUUAAUAAAAAUCUAAGAUAUAAACUCAUUAGUAUUAGUAAAAUAAAUUGUCUUAAUUUCAUAAUCUAAAAUUAAUUAUUUAAACAAGCAUUUCAAUUGUAUUUGUAUCAGUAAACUUCUAGUUUACUUUAACAUACUUUUCAAUUGUACUGUUAAUAUCAAUAUAAAUUGUGACAAAUUGAUAAUUUUACUGUCAUUCCUUUUACUUUGUAUCGAUAUAUAAGUACUAUUGUAUUGAUAAUUUUAAGUCAACAAAAUAAAUAUAAUUUCCAAAUAAUUAUAUGCAAUAUUAGCUUCAGGGAAUAUACCAAAAUAUUCAAACGUCCAAAAAAAUGAUUAUAAAAUUUAUUAUAUUUAUUGCAAAUAUUCACUUCAAGGAAUGUGCAAAAAGUAAUUCAGACAAUAAUGUAAGCAUAUAUCAUAUUUCUUAGCAAAAGCUUUAAGGAUUGAUUAAUUAGUAAAAAUCAUUUAGCAUUUUGUACUAAGAAUAAACAUUUGGAAACAUUUUGAAUCAUCCAUCUUCUUCUUAUCUAUUUGUCAAUAAUGAAAAUAAGUUAAAUUUUCAUAAUUGUUAUGUAUUGUUACAUUCACUUCUGGAAAUGGAGUAGAACUAGUGGAACAAAUAAUUCAUUAUUUUGUUUAGCCAUAAAGAGAUAUGAGAUCAAUUCAAAAAACUUUUAAAGUCCUUUUAACAAGAGUUUCGCAUAAUCAGUUAACUACCAGGAAUAACUAGCUAGGUCAUGUAUAGAAAUAAGCCUAAAUUAAAUAUAUCAAUAAAAGUCACAUCUCAAACAUAAAAAUAUGGCAUAAUGAAAAACUAAUAAUUUUUUUUCUUUCAUAACCAUCAUCAUAAGCAUGCAUGAAAUUUAAAUCAAAAUCCAACCAUUCAUCCCCAUAGAACUUUUUAUUUACAUCUGCUCAUGUCAUUUGUUUAUAAUUAACACAUGGAAUAAUAUAAACGUAUGAACUACUACUACCUUUAACAAUUCUUUGAACUAAAUCAAAUUCGAAUAACCAUAAAAUUUAUUGGUUUAUUAAUACAAAUUUGAAUACUGGGUAUGUUUUAAUCACAUAUAUCAUUUAAUUAUAAACCUACUAUAGCGAAAUAAAUAAAUCAGCCAAUGUUCAUUUUCAUAAGCAAGUGAGAUGCUUAAAACAAUAUGUAACCCAUGUAAUCAGAACUUAAAAAGAAGACCAUUUCAAAUAUUUAAAUCAUAUAUCAUGUCAAUUUGAUAUUUAAAUAUGUACUUUUUUUUGUAUCAUGAAUAUACAAUAAUAAUUCAGUCAAUUAGAUUUAUGGAUUCCAACAUUAUUUGUAUUAUAAGAGACUCAAUUGAAUGAAAAAAAGUACUAAAAAUAGUUUAGGGUCUAUUCAGGGACUAACCUGAACAAUUCAUAAAGUUCUAGGAAAAAUUGUAAAAUAGAGGUCAUAUGGCUGUGUGGAAGGGUUACACGAGUCAGGUUGUGUAGCUGAUUAUGGUCUUGUGGCAAAUGCAAAAAUUACCCUACAAGAGAGACACGACCAUAUGGCAAGCCGUGUGGAAGGUUCUUGGCCAUGUGAUUCCCGAACUAGCCAAGGGUUUCCAGGGUACAUGGCCGUAUGAGGGUCUGUAUAGGAGACCGUGUGGCCUUAUUCCUAGACACGAUUUGCCUCAAUUUUCUUGUAAAAGAACACACACCUUUCUCCAAGAGUUCAUUGACGUUCCUCACGAUCAAAAUUGAUCUGAUGCAUCUAAAACAAGUCUUCCAAAUGACAUUUAUACACGAAUUAAUGUUUGAUUUCAAGAUUUAUCAAGAUUAUUGAGAGAUUUGUCAAGGACCAAAAAAGAUUGUAUAAUUGGGUUGAAAGAUUAUCGUUGAAUAGAAAUACUAUAAAAAUUCAGGAUUUAUUCAUCGGGAUUGAGAUGUACUUACCGAUUUUUGGCAACUAUUAAGGAUGUUAUUUGAUGAUAAUUUUAACACCGUUAAGAAAUCAAGAAACGUGGUUAGUUUGAUGCGAGAAAGAAAAUAAUCAAUAGUUCAAGGAUGGAAACAUGCUACAAUUAUAAGAGAAAAGAGGAGGAAAAGAUAAGAGAAAGAAAUAAAUUGUAACAUCCUCGACCUGGCCUAGGAGUUUCAGCUAAGUCGAAAGCAUUACAUUGAUCACCGAAGUGAUCCUGUAAAACCAUUUUUUUGCUUUGAGUUAGAUUAUAUGAAAAUCAAUCCUUUAUUGUAAAAGAAAAUAUGUAUUAAUUAAACCGGCUUUACUUAGCAAUUCAAUUACAAGAUUAUUAAUGUGAAGUUUUGAAAAAUUGUUAAAGUUAAAAAGACUUUUCAAAACUUAAAGUAUUUGUAAAGUAGUGGAAAACAUUAUUAUAAGUAAUAGUUUUCUAAACCAAACAACAUGCAAUUAUCAUUUUAUUAACUAAGUAUCAUGUUUAGAAUUAAUAAACUAAAUAAUCCCAAACCUAAGAUAUAAAAGCAAGAAAUAAAUAUAAUUACAACCCUAAAAACAAGUAAGGAAAACUUUAAUUGAACUUUUAAAAUAAUAAUAAAAGAAUGAACAGCUAGUCUGAGGUUCCUCUAAUGCCAUUUCGGGUCCUAGUUUUCUGUGUUACCUGAAAGAUAAAAAAGGGGGAGUGAGCUUAUGACGACUCAGUGUGAGUCUAAUUUUUAAACCAUUAUAUAAAAUUGUUCAAACAGUAAAGCAUUUAACUUAUAUCAUCAUAGAAAAAUAAACAUAAUGCAAGGAUCACUUAGUAAAUCAAUGCAUGAACAUAAUAAAUUCAUGAUGCAAUUCAAUUUUUAAUUUUAAAUUCCCAUUCAUCCAUCAUAACCGCCCUCAAGCAUCGCUCGGCACACCAAAACACAUGUCAAUAACUUACCAUCUCCGAUUUCCCGAUGACAAUGGCCAUUCACUUGUCAUCUGUGACGAUGAAUUUUACAACAAUAACUUACCAUCUCGAUUGCCCAAUUUUGAUGGCAUUUUAAACUAUCAUCCUAGUUUACCCGGUUUUGAUGACAUUGAUACCUACUUCGUGCAGUACUGACUUUCAGUGUGAACUCAAUUUGCCACUUUCUCCUAUGGAACUCCUCCAUGCUAUUCAUCAUCAAUUGAUGCUAUGCUUAUCAAGCACAUUUAUUAUUUCAUACUAUCAUUUAAUGGCAUGUAUUCAUGCAUUCAUUCAUUUCAAUUUCACAUAUACAAUUCCUUCAUGCAAAAUAAAAACCUGUAACAAUAUAUUGAUAUUAGAUUUUUUAUCAUGUUUGUUCAGCUAACACAUACAUAACAAGUUCAUAUGUAGGGUUCGCACAUCUAGAGUUCACACAUCUAGGGUUUGCACAUCUAGGGUUCGCAUGUAUAAGGUUCACAUACUAAUUCAUAUAAAGGUUUGCAUACCAAAUCAUAUAGGGGUUCAUAUACUAAGCCCAUAGGUAUUUUCAUUCCUAAAGGUUCGCACACGUAAGUUUUCACAUACAUCAGGGUUCGUACAUCUAGAGUUCACAUAUAUGGGUUCGCACAUCUAGGGUUCGCGCAUAUAGGGUUCAUAUACUAAGUUAUAUGCGGUUCGCAUACUGAAUCCAUAAGGGUUUGCAUGUAGGUUUGUAUACAUGGAGGUUCGUACAUCUAAGGUUUGCGCAUAUUAAAUCACAUAUUAUAUAACAUGGGGGUUUGCAUAUUACAUCAUACUGUAUAACAUAGAGGUUCGUAUACCACGUCAUACUAUAUAACAUAGGGGUUCACAUACUAUGUCAUACUAUAUAACAUGGGGGUUCGCAUACUACGUUAUACUAUAUAACAUAGGGGUUCGCAUACUACGUCAUACUAUAUAUCAUGGGGGUUCGCAUACUACGUCAUACUAUAUAACAUUGGGGUUCACAUACUACAUCAUACUAUAUAACAUGGGGGUUUGCAUGUUAUGUCAUACUAUAUAACAUGGGGAUUCACAUACUACGUUAUACUACAUAAAAUAAGGGGUUUGCAUAUAUAAGACUUAUAGGGUUCGCAUAUAAAAGUUGUAGAGUUUACAUGUAUAAAACGUAUAGGGUUCGCAUCUAUACACUAAGGGAUUGCACAUAUAUUCCUCCUAAGGGUUCGCAAGAAAGGGUUCACACAAUAGAUUUGUAACACCCCUAACCCAUAUCCGUCGCCGAAAUAGGGCUACGAGGUAUUACCGAUCAAUCAUAAUACAAAAGCAUACAUUUAACAUACAUUAAGUAUUUCCAUAUAAACAUCAAUCAAACAUAACCACAUCGUCCCUUAAGAGGGCCUAUGAGGCCUUAAAACAUGCUUAGAAUAAGUUCGGGACUAAACCGAUAACAUACAAAUAUUUUUGAAACUUAGAAAAUUUUCUUACAUUUAAGGGUCACACGCUUGUAUGAACAGGCCGUUGCCUCACACGGCUACCAGACAUGCUCGUGUCACAAGCCGUGUGAAAAUAGAGCAUACAUACUGACUUACACCACACGGUCAUGUGCCUUAGCCGUGGGAAAUCUGGAGGGGUUACUGACUUAGGUCACACGACUGACCAUAUGCCCGUGUGUCUGGCCCGUGUACCCUUCGAAAUGGCUACAUACGCCUAUGUGCCAAGGCUGUGUGCCUCACACGACCACCAAACACACCUGUGUGUUUAGGCCGUGCACAAGACUGACUUGAAUCUCUAAUUAUUUCCCAGGGGUCACACGGCCAUGUACUAAGGCCAUGUGCCACACAUAGUUGAACCACACGCCCUUGUGCUCAGCUGUGUGGAGUGAAAAUAGGCUUGAUUUAAGCCACAUUUCUCACCCUCCUCAAGCAUACCUAAACCACAUCAAAUUUCAUCAUUUCCAUACAUAUAUGAACAACCAAAACAUGCUAAUUCAUUCACAAUUUAUACCAUUUAUAAACCAUCCACUUAACUACUCAAAUCCAUAACCAAAACAUACCCAAUCAAUAUGCCAAAGUCAUCAAACUUACUUAACUUCUAAAUGCACUUUCUCAACAUUCUAUCAUCUAUUUCAUGCCUCAAAACAUACAAUUUCAUUAUCUCAUAAUCAAACCACAAUAUGUCAACUUUCAAGCAUCAACAUAUCAAUUAAUAACUAAUCAAGUGAGUAACCACCUAGCCAUAUCAACAACCAUGACAAACAUGCCAAAGUACAUGAAUACUUAUAUACAUCACAUAUAUCACUUAUCAAACACAUAAUUUAAGCCAACUUAAAUGGCCAUACAUACCAACAUUUACAUCAAAAGCAAGCCAAGUCUCAUGGCUAAUAUCAUGACUUAAAAAAAUACCAAAAUAACACUAGCCUAUACAUGCCAUAUACCAAAUAUACAAAGCUUCAAAAGUACCAACGAGAUGAUCGAUAGUGUGAUGAUGUUUCUCGAGUCCGAGCUAGCUUCGAUAAUCUAUAAAACAUGGAAAUAACACACAAAGUAAGCUUUAAAAGCUUAGUAAGCCAUGUAUAAAUAAAGCCAUCAUAUGAACAUUUGCAUAUCAAUUCAAAUAUGCUAAACAUAGCUAAUCAUAUUCAAAUUUACAAACCUUUCUUAUUGAACAUAUAUUCAAUAUCUUAAUCAAGUUCAUCAAAUACUUUCCCUUUUUAAUAUUCGUAUGAAUUUCAUACGUACCUGAGUCGUUUAACUCAUUAACACAUUCUUUCUUGACUUGUCUUUGCCCAUUGAAUCAUUCGGAAUCGUUAAGGAUACUCGGAAUCACAUAAAACUCGUACAAUGCCAUAUCCUAGAUAUGGUCUUAAAUGUUAUCACAUAUCGAUGCCACUGUCCCAGACAGGGUCUUACACGAAAUCGAAUAACGAUGUCAAUGUCCCAGACAUGGUCUUACAUGUAAUCACAUCUUGUAACUUAAUGUCAUGACAUUCGUAUCUUAUACUAUUCCUAAGGUUCGUACAGGACUUUUGGAUAUCGUAACUUUAUCGAUUCUUGCUCAUAAUUGUUCAUUCAACAUUUACAACCUUUCAAUUAUAAAUAUACACAUAUAAUUCAAUUUAAAGGCAUUCAUUUGUAUAUGAACUUACCUCGUAUUCGGGAUAAACGAAUUGGAUCGACUAUUCGAUAACUUUCGAUUUCCCUAGAUCUAAAUCUGAUUUCUUUCGUUCGUAGUAUAUAUAAAUUCAAAAUUAACUCUUUUAUUCCUCAAUUCAUUCAAUUUUAUCCAAAACACACAAUUUGAGAAUUUUACACAUUAACCCCUAUAAUUUCACAUUUUCUCAAUUUAGUCCCUAUUUCAUGAAAACACAAAAUUCAUGAAAUUCAAAUUAACCGAUGCUUGAAAAAAUUUCAUAGGGAGCUCUAGCAGCCUAAACUUUCAUUUAUUCACACUUUUAACCCACAUUUUUAUCUUUUCACAAAUUAAUCCCUAAUUUGUAUUUUCUCUAAAAAUCACUUAAUAAAACUUUAAUAUAUAUCAUCAAACUUUCAAAAUUCAUCAAAAAUAAUUCAAAAGCUCAAGCAUUCAUUAAUGGAAACUCACAAAUUCAUCAAAAAUUUUAGAAAUUAGGGUACGGGCUAGCUAGAUUACUAAGCAACGAUCAUAAAAACAUAAAAAUCAUCAAACAUCGAGCUCAAAACGUAUCUCAAUCAAGCCACACAAGUUCUGAACCCUAAAUGAGCUUCAAGCUUUUAUUUUCUUUUGAUUUUCUUUUAUUUUCUUUAAUUAACCUUUUAUUUUACUAAUUACCAUAAUAUCCUUAAUGAAAUUAUAAUAAAAAUUUUAUAUACAUGAUCAUAAAUGUCCAUUAACUAUUCCAAAAGUCUAAUUUCAAUAUAAGGACUUCACAUGUAAUCAACCAUAAUAAUUAAACACAUUUAACAUAUAGAAUACCAUUUUUGCAUUUUACGCGAUUUAGUCCUUUUUUGUCAAAUUGAGCUAUUAAACGAUAAAAUUAGCUACGAAAUUUUCACACAUAUAUAUUCACAUGCUGCAAACACAAAAAAUAAUAUUAAAAUAAUUUUACGACCUCAGAUUUGUGGUUUCAAAAAUACUAUUCUGAUUUCGCUAAAACCAGGUUGUUACAAGAUUACCUUAUUUUCUAAUACUUUCAAUUCAUUAAUCAUACACAAUGAUUUAAGACAAAAAAACCUUAAUUUUUGAAUGAAGAAAUAAACAAUUUAUUGGGAGGAGAGGGAUGCAAUUGAAAACCUUGAAAACUUUGGUUGCGAAUGUGAUUCGACAAUGGUGAAGAAGAAGAGAAAAUCUUGAGAGUUUUUCUUGAAAAAUUUUCUAAAUAAAAUUCCUAGGUUUCUGAAAAGAUUGACUACUUAUAGAACUUUUUUCCUAAUUGAAAUAGAAUUAAGAAUUAGUUUAUAAUUAUGGUUUAUUUAAAUUAAUGACUAAAUAAAAAAAUAGUUUUUGGUCUGGGCUAGUUUGAAAAUUCAGUACUUUAUAGGGAUAAAAAUAAAAAAUAAAAUAUUUUAGCUAAAUGCAAACAAGGGAUUAUGAACUUGAGACCAAAAGGAAAGCUAAGCUUUACCACUGAACUAGCAAACUCAUUCUUAACAUAAGCCUUCAAGAAAUUGUUUUUAAAGGUUAUGGCUAAGCAUUAAGGGAGUUUUUAAAAUAAUCGGCAAAUGGUGCAAAUAAAGGAGUUUAAACCUAGGACCUCUAGAAUAGGGGAAUAACACUUAACCAUCAAGCUUAAGGCUCAUUUCUUGUUAAUUAUUUAUUAAAAAUAAUUUUUAAGGUAUUCUAAGUUCACUAGGGUGUGAUAUAAAUAGAGGAUGAAGAGAAGUUCUACUGAAAUUAUGAAAAAGAUAGUUAUUCUAGUCAAACUAGGACUAAAAUUUGUAUACCUUAGUGUAUGGGGCUAGAUCAUUUUGCUGGCCUUUGGCGAUCCGUUCGUUCAAACUCGCCUAAGUCAGCCUUUACUCAACUGAGGAUUCCUUAAGAAGUCCUCCAAGGCACCAAUUGUAGAGCAGAAGCAAUUUAUGCCAAAAGAACAACAGAAAGAACACACAUAGAAGCGAUUUAUGCCAUAUCAAAUCCUAUUUAAUCUUUACAAGAUAUGAUUCCCUCUAUCUUCUAAAAGUAGUUACCAAAUUUUCAAUGGAAUUAAAAAAGGAAGGGUGUAGCUUGAACUUGGGCAAAUGGAAAGGGAAUUAGCAUGUUAACCAUUAGACCUAAGUCUAUUUCUUGUUUAGUUUUUAGUGUGGUUUUUAUCCUAGGGUGCUAAAUAUAAAAGGAAAAAAAAUUGAAAGGAAUGAGAUUUGAACCUAGGAUUUCUAGGAUGGGUGCACUAUCAUUUUAAUCAUUCGACCUAUAUAUUAUUUUUUGUCUAUUUAUUAAGAUUAACUCCUUAUAUUUUGGGGCAUGACAUUGCUAGAUUUCAAUUCCAGACUCAAAUAAUUGCAAUUUUCAAUUAGGAACUUAAUUGAUUUUAAAUUAUUUUACGUUUUUUUUCAUUUAUGUUGAAAAAAUUUUAAGUCAACAUUUUAACUAAAAUAAUUAACGAGGAACUUUUUUUUUUGAUUAAUUGAUAUAAAAAUAAAGAAACUAGAUUAUAUCAAAUUAAAAUAUAAAAAAUGUAAAUAUAAUAAAAAGACUAAAACCAAAAUUUCAAUAAUAGAUUGAAAAUUUAAGGCUCCAUUUGAUUUCUUACAGUAUUUUAUAUUUAUAUUUUUAGUUCUCAUUUUUCAUUUUUCAUUUUUCAUUUUUCAUUUUUGAAAUUUGAAAAACAUUUUUGGUAAAUAAGAAUACAAAUUUGUUUUGAAAAAAUGAAAACAUAAAAUAAUGCUUAAUACAUAGAAAUAUUAUAUUUUUUUAAUAUUAUAAAAUAUUUUUUAUAUAUUAUGAAUAUGUUAUAAAAAUUAUACAAUUAUAGAAAAUCAGAAAUAUUAUUAAAUAUUACUAAAACUUUAUGAAAAAUAUGAAAUUAUUAUAAAAAUUUAGAAAUUAUAGAAAAUUAUAAAAAUUAUUACAGCGAAACCAACAAGUGGUUGAGUGGUUCAAAUAUUGGAGACAACAUUGUUGGGAGGGGCAACCAAGAACCCCAAAUAUGGACCGUAAAACAAACAUGCAUAAGAUCAAAAAAAUAUAUUAAAACGAUAAAAAACCAAAAACUUAUAAAAAUUAUAAAAAAAAUUAUAGAUAUUUUAUUUUAAAGUUUUGGAAUCUUUAGUUUCGUUAAUAAGGAAAUAAAGAACUUAAAUUAUGAUGGUGAUUGAAUUUGUACUGGGUGUCGAGUGAGGUGUUUAAGUGACAAUAAGUUUAGUGCUUGGCAGAUUAAGGUGAGUUUAGUGAUGGAUUAAGAAGAGCAAUAAGUAUUAGUUUUGGUUGAUGAGGUGAUGCGAGAGAAAUUAAUAAAGAUAGAUUGUGGUAUGACGUAAGACAGUGUGUAAGGGAAGAUAAAAAAAGAGUAGUAACUUUUAUUCAAAAAUUUUUAAAAUUAAUACAAAUUAUUGAAAUAUUACAAGAAAUUUUAGAAAACUAUGUAAAUUAUUCAAAAUUUAUUAAAUAUAAUAAAAAUUCAAAAAUUGCUAUUUUUAUAUUUUUAAUAAACCUUUAUAAUAUUUUAUUAUUUUAUAUUAUUAUAUAAAUUUUUUAUAGUUUUUUAAAUAAAAUUUUAAUAAUUUUCUAUAAUGUCUAAAACUCAAUUAAGCUUCAUAAAAUGAUUAAAAAAAUCAAUUAAGCCUUCCACUUUUAACAAUUUUCAAGGUAAAAGUACCAUGAAAGCCCCUAUACUAAGAGUCAAAUUGUAUUUUACCCCCUCUAUUAAAAAAUGGGCAAAUUAGUCCUUACAUAAUAGAUCAAAGAGCAAAUUGGUCAUUUCUGUUUAAAAUUUCAUCCAUUUGUACUAUUAAAAACUGAUGUGGCUGAUAGAAUAAUCAGAUAUUGACACGUAACAUGCCACAUGUACCUCAUACUGACGUACAAAGAUCAAAUUUUUAUAGCAAAAAUGGAUAAAAAUUUUAAUAAAAGGGUCAGCUUGCUCUUUAGACCUAAUGUAUAAGGACUAAUUUGCCGAUUUUUUGAGUAAAGGGGACAACAUGCAAUCCAACUCCUAAUACAGGGGUCUCUAUUAUACUUUUACCCAAUUUUCAAUGACAAACACCACAUCAGUUGCCACAUCAGUAUUUCCCACGUCAACUAUCGUGUCAUCACUUAACAGGCCGUCAGGGGCUUCAACGAAAAACUAUAUUUCAAGAGCUCAAUUGAUUGCUAAUUUUUUUAUUAGGAGGUUAUUUGAUUGUAAUUUUCGAUUAAGGUCUUGAUUAAUUUUUAAUUAUUUUACAAGGGCUUUUUUUAUAUUUAAAUAUUUUUUUCUUAAAACUCGUCAAUGACAUUAUAAUAAUAGAAGGAUCAAACUCUGUCAAAUUGACUAAAUUCUAAAUUUGAAUAGUACUAAAAGGAGUAAAAUCAAAAUUUGACAAAUAUAUUCAAAAUCUAAAUUCCUUAUCUUUUCUCCCUUGCAUGUCUCGUUUUCUAAAAGUAAAUUUGGAGCUUUCAUAAUCCUGAUUCGACGACUAACAAGGCGGGAUUACAACAUUUUUAUAUACUAGAAUAGUGUUGAUUAUUUAUUUGUAUAAAUUUAUAAAGUAAAAAUUUGAAGGUAAAAAUAUGCUUUUAGUUUCUAUACAUUUAUAUAUUUAGAAUUUAGUUUCUAGCCAUUUCUUUCUGGCUUUAUGGUAUAAUAGAAACAAAAGUUAUCUUAAGGGGAUUAAGGAAUGGGUUCAAGAUAUAGUGGGAUUUAUAAAUGCAUACAACUUAGAAAUUGAGCAGUUGGGCAAAUUGUCGAUUACCUUGAAUAAUCCAAGCGUGUCUGUUUGGAAGCCUCUAAAGGAGGAUGUUAUAAAGGUUAACUUUGAUGCUUCUUAUAAUCAACAGCUACGCAUUUCAAGCUCGGGUAUUAUAGCACGUAACACGGAAGGAAUGGUAAUGGCGUCCUGUACCUAUCCAUGGGAGAAUAUUCUGGAUUUGACCAUGGCAGAGGCUCGAACGUGUUUGCAGGUGAUUACCUUUGUAGAGGAACUGGGUUUUCGUGAAGUUUGUAUCGAAGGAGAUGCCUUAAAUGUUAUCAAGAGAAUAAAUUCUACAGGAGAGGACAGAUCUAACAUUAGCAAUAUGAUAAACGAAAUUCAGAGAAGAGCACUUAAUUUUAGAAGUGUAAAGUUCAGGUUUGUACCCUGGGCGACGAACGUGUCGGCGCAUGGAAUGGUGAUGGAAGGCAAGAGGCAUGACUACCCCAUGUACUAGAUAGAGGAAGUCCCGAGGGAGGUGGAAAAGCUCAUUGAUAGAGAUAUGAGAGGAUUUGAGGAGAGUAAACAAGUGUGAAGGCUGAGUCCGGGCUCGAAGGCGAUUGAUAGUCUGAGGAACUCGAUGGCCUAAGAAAAAGGCUAGUUACUAGUGUGUUGGAGUACGAAAUGAUGGAAGGAUCUAAUGACCUUUUUGUUUUACUUAUGCACGGGGGAGGAUCGGAAGGAGUUCGUAGAUGAAGGGAUUUUUCAAAUCUGGGGACGUUUCAUUUUAUGUUUUUCUUAUUUUGUUUUCGGUUGUUGUGUUGGCUUUGUUAGGAUUUGUUUUUGUUUUUAAUUUUUAGGCACCGUUUUGUUGGCCAUUAGUUGAGUAGCAAUUGUGUGGUCAAGCUGUAAUGGUUUUGUCUCCAAGCAUUUAUGGCAUCAACGGGCAUUUAAAAAAAAAAGAAUUUAGUUUGUUAUUUUUAUUUUUAGGAAUUUAUUUAUUUUACUUUUUGGAUUAAAAAAUUCAGUUCCAGUUCUUAUCCUCAUUAAAAUUUUUCUAUUAAAUUAUAUGGUAUGACAUUUUGAAAUUAAAAAAAGACCACUUAGUAGUCAUACAACAGUAAAAAUAAUGUUGAUAAUAUUAAUUAAGAUUUUUCUUAAAAACGUUCGUUUGAACUUGUCAUUAUAAAAUAAUUUUUUAUUGAAAUAGUGUUAAGAAAAAUUGACGUAACAUUUUUAUUGAAAUAGUUAACAAUAUUAACUAUUUAGACUUACUAAUAACAUUAUAAAAGUAGAAACAAAUUAUGCCAAAAUUUAAAGUAUUUAGAAAUCUCAAGUUUCAACAUAGUCUAAGGGCUUUCCUGUGAAGUUGCGACACCAAAUGAUUAAUGUCGCAACAUCGAUCUCCAUAGUUGUGAUUCCAAGAUUUCAAGGUUGCAACUCCAAGUCCAAACAUCAAAGUAAGGAAGUAGGUCACUUGAGGACUAAGGUCGUGACACCAAAAGGUCAAUGUCGCGACACUAAAAUUUCCAAUCACCCAAAGUAGUUGACUGUUGAGGAUGUCGCGACACCAAGGUCUGGGUGUCACGACACCGAAGCUUGAUGAGGGAAUUUCUAUAAGGAUAAUUUGAUAUCUAACCAAGCUUUAGUUAUUUUUCCAUUCAAGGCAAUUUUUUCAUUUUUAGGUUACUUUGACCAAUGAUUAUUAGAUUUUAGUACUUUCUCUUCUAGGUUAAUUUGGAGGGAUUGUCUUUCAGUAUUUUUUUGCGGUUCUUCUUUUUACACUUGUUUUGGGUUUGCAUUAUAAUUCAAUAGAUUUUUAGUAUUUUUAUUAUCCAAAAUCUACAAAUUGAUAAUCAGACUAUGGAACUUCAAGAUUCAUCAUAUUUUCAUCAAUCAAAUCAAUGACUUCAUAAAAAAUUUCUAUACAUUUCUCAACUCUUUUCUUUUUCGUGUUGUUUGAUUGUUUAAUUUAGUAUGAAAUUGACUAGCUUUGUGCAUUGAUUAUGGAAAUGAACUAAAUAUUGUUAUGGUUGAUUAAUUGAAGUGUCAAUUAAUUAGUUUGAGGUUUAAAGACUAGAUUGUAAGAAUUUUGAUUAAAUUAAAUGAAUUUAGAAACCUAAAAUUGACGGAUCUAGAGGAACAAUUAGAUAAUUGAGACCGAUAAGAGAUCUUAUUGAGCACAUAUUUGAUUACCUUGAUUUAGUCUAGUGAGACCGAGAGAAAAAUUGGACUAAAUCUUUUAAUUGGGUAAAAUAGUGAUCGAGAGGUAAUUUUGAAUCAAUUAGAAAACUAACUAGUUUAGAUCUCUAAUUCGAGAAUUAAUUAUUGACAUGGAAAUUAAUCAACUACUCUAUUUUUCGUUGAUGAUUACAUUUUUUAUUGUGGUAUUUUUGCAAUUUAGUCCCUUAGGUUAAAAUUUAGUUUAAAUCAAUUCUUCUAUUGUUUUUCAUACCAUGCCAUUUAGCCAUUAGCUAGCUAGACUUUUUAUUGUGAGCUUGGUCUUCGUUACUUCACCGUAUCACUCAAUCUUCUUUGGGUUCGAUCCUUAGAAUACUCUGUGUGUUACAUUGUAACAGUUAGAAAUAUUACAACUAACAUAUUACACUUGCAGUAAAAAUCACUUUAUAAUUAUCAAUAUUUUGUGCUUAUUUCUCUAUGCAAAGUUUAUACACUGUGGAGCGGUCAUUAGUCUCUGAGAUUCUUAAGGCAUUCAAUUUAUAUAUAACUGAUCUGCCACAAAUCGAUGUGGCAAAUUAGGCUUUUCUGACACACUUAAGGAGCUUUUUCUCGAGCAACAUAGAGUUUUUAGGUUAGUUUUUUUUUUGUUAUUUUCGUAUUUUUAUAUUUUUCGAGUAAUAAGUUAAAAACUCUCAUUUUUUCUAGUUUUUUACCCAAAUUGGCUGAUAGUGCCAUUGAGAAGUCUAAUGUGUGUUUAAGUGAUGUAGGGACGUGUUGGAGGUCAAAAAUGAGCGAGAACAACAUAUAGGGCAAGGGUAUCGUGAUAUCCAACCCUUGGAAUUGCGAUACCUCCGACAGUAUAGAAGACUAAUGAAACCCUUCAGUGGUAUCGCGAUAUCCACCUCUCAAAGAAUACCCCCAAGUUCAAUACUGCCCGAGAUAUCUCGAUAUUCUCUUCUGGGUAUCGCGACUUGGACAAAAAGGGCAACCUUUGUCUACCCGACCCACCAAUCACACAAGGUCCAUGUAGGGGCAAUUUUGGCAUAAAAAAUUCAUCAGAAUACCCUUAAAAAUAGCUAAAAUUGCUGAGGAGGAGAGAGGCACAUUAGCUUAGUUUAAGCUUAGUUUUCUCUAGGUUUUCUUUAGUUUUUCUCUACACUUUUCUAGGGUUUUUAUUUUUCUCUUCCUCUACCUUAAAUUAGAGUUCAUUUUUCUGCAUUUACUUCUUGUUCUUAAUGUUCUUUAUGUUAGUCAAGUUAGUUAACACUGUAGCUAAGUUUUACUUACAUUUCCAAUCCUUGUACCUUGCUUUCAAGACUCUUUAAGCUUUAGUUUAAUAUAUUUCAGUUAAUUUUACUUCAAAUCUGUUAAAGCUUGUUCCUUUUAUGUUUCUUGCUUUAGAUUUCUUUGUUAAAUGCUUUUGAUUUCAUGUUAUUUAAGUUUUAUUGCAUAAAAAUCUCAACUUUCACAUUUUUUUAAGGUUUACUUUCAUGGCUGCUUUGUUUUCUAUUGUUAUGUUUAUUUUCUUGACUUUGAGCAUGUGUAGCUAAAUCCUUAAGGAGGUUGGUUGAUAAAGAUGUGGAUACACUAAAAUCUUUGGACAAAGGACUAAAUCGUAAUGAAUUUGACUAAUUUAAAUAGAACAAAGAACUUAGGUAGUGACGCCUUUAAGGGAAUAUUAAGAUAAAGUGAGACCGAAAGGUAAUCUUGUCGCACACCCAUUUGUUACUCUCGGAUUAACUUGUGAGAUCAAAAGAUAAACUGGACCUAAUCCAUCUAAGUCUGUAAAAUUGAGAUCGGAAGAUAAAAAUAGAGCCACUUGGUAAUAUACGCAAUUUAUGUCCCUAGUCUGAGAUUUGGUGAACCACAUCGAAGUCAACCAACCCUUAUUAGUCACUUGCUAGAUAGUCCCUCUAGUUUACAUUUCUUGUAAUUUAGUCCCUGGAGUAGAAUAUUUAAUUUUCUUGCAAACUUAUACUUUAUGAAUCGCCGUAAUAUAAAAUCAUAUCAGUAGUUACUUAGCCUCUAUUUUGUAUACUAGUUAUUGCUCAAUCGCCUCUUCAUUUGGGUUCAAUUCUUGGAAUGCUUAGAUGUUUCAUUGUAACACAAUAAAUAUUAAAACUAACCUGUAUGCUUGUAGUAAAACCAGAUUUUAAAAAUUAUUUCAUAAAUUACUUGUUUUAAUGCGCACGCGCGCAGCCUAUCAAUAACCACAUAAUAUUUUAAUUUAAUAGUUAAAAAUAUAAACUAUUUGGACUAAUUAAUAGCAUUAUAAAAAUAUAAAGACAAAAUUAUGUUAGAAAUUAAAAUAUAGAGGUUAAAUAUCAAAUUUAAGCAUAAUAGAGUGACCAAAACUGAAAUUUAACUAAUUUUAUGAAAUAUAAAAAAAAGCAAAAGAAAAAGAGAGAGAGGGAGCAAUUAUAGAACAAAAUGUUAAGUGUCAAGUUCUUAUUAAUCAUAUAACUUUUUUAUUUAUAAUUUUCUUUCUUUUUUAAAUGAAACCUUUUUUUUAUACAUUUGUUAAAAGAAAAGUUAGAAUAUGCUUCAAGUCCUUGUACUUGUCUACUAAAAUUUAGUCCUUUUAUUUCAAUUUUCAAGAAUUAGUUCUUUUACUUUUCAAAUUUUAAAAUUUAGAUUUAGUUGUUAACACAAUUAAAAUUCUUCUCUUAAAUUUUGUACUACUUUACACCUGACUCAGUCGACAGAUCCAAAUGUGUGACAUCACUUCAAAUGGGCCCACAUAGAAGCUUGGUUUAUAUGAGAUCAGUCACAGAGUUAGGACAUGAAUCCAAACCCAAAGCAUCAAAAUUCAACAUUGUGUCAGUUAGGACAUGAAUCCAAACCCAAAGCAUCAAAAUUCAACAUUGUGUCUCGAGACAUGCCUCCCCUAUUUUCCUAUUUUUGCUUCAAAGUUGAUUGUCUUAAGAUAUUGAGGGUUUAUGUCUCAAGACAAUGAUCCUUAUGUCUCGAGACUUGUCUCAAGACAUAAUUCUCCUGUUUCAGACCUCUAGCUUCGAUGUUUAGUUGUCUCGAGACAAUGAAGUUCUUAUCUCGAGACUUAAAAUAGGGCAAAUCUAAUUUAGCUUCAAUGUUUGCUAUAUUAAAACAUAGGUUAUCACAUCCCAAAAAUCCGGUUAGAAGAAAUUGAGUUAGUGAAACCAAGAGUGGUUACGUCUGGCUUUUGAGUUAAAAUUGUGAAAAAUUUUGUAAAAUGAUUUAAUUUGGUUCAUUGGUUGAGAGUUGUCUUUAUGUGCAUGAGGUUCUAGGUUCGAGUCUUUCUUCUGAAAUUUUGUCAAUUUUUUAUUCUAACCCUAAACCCUAUUCAAAAUCGUUUGACUUAGAUAUUAUUUUUCUGUAAGUUAUGACAGAAUGAGUUUACUGGUUUAGUAGUAAGGCAUCAGUUUACGGUUAAGUCUUGUAUGCAAAUUUGAAAUAAUUUUGCUCAUUGUUAUUUGUUGAAGGUUGGGUUUUUUUAAAAUUCUAUGAAAUCUUUGGGUUAGGAUUUGGCUCAAGUUAAAAUAUCUUUUUUUAUUUAUUUGAAAAGUAUCAACACCCUAAUUUUUUUAUCUCUCAUCACUAACCAUCCAUACACCCCCUCUCUGCACAUUUCAUAUUUUUCUUUUCCAGUCCUUUUUCAUGUUUUCUUCUUUUUGUUUUUGGCCAUUACUCAUUUCUAUCGUUUGCUUUGCGGUUCAAUCAAUUUUUUUGCUUCUUUCUUUGUCAUUAUCGUCUUUGUUAUGCUCAUUGUUCUUUACGUUUCUUUGGAUUUUUGCAUUAUCCAAUCUUCGUCUUUCGUCAUCUUUUUUGGGUAAGUGAUGUUGAUUUUGUGUUGGGUUUUUGAUGUUACUAAGUUAUUGGAGAAAAUGUAAGUGGUUAAUAGGUGUUUGGGUUGGAUAUGGGAUUUUAAUUAUAGUUUAUUGGAAUUGUUUAAGUGUUGGUUGUGGAACGGCUAAUAGAUCAAAAAAUUAGUUGCUAUGGGCUGCUGCUUUUGUAAGAGGUAGGUGCAAAUAACAUACUUUGAGGUUUUAUGUGUAAGCUAAGUUUGGAAAUCAAGUUUCGGUAACGAAAUUGGAUUGUUAGGUGAUAUAGUUUAAUGACAUAUGUAGGUUUCGUUAGUUUCAUACAUGUGGUUGGUCAAUGUCGCUACUAAGUGUGUGUUUCUAACCUAAAAUCAGCGUGUAUAAUUUGAAAAAUCUGAGUGAAACUGUUCUGCGUCACAAGGCCAUGUGGCAGACCACAUGCACCGUACAACCGUGUGCCUGGCCGUGUUGCUAGCCAUAUGUUAGGCUGUGUGAGGGCACAUGGGCGUAUGCGAUUACACAGACAAAUCAGGUAGGCCAUGUGGGACACACGGUUAUGUGAAAUCAAACGGGUAGGACAGGUAGCCUGUAUGGGCCACACGAGCUGGUUAUUUGAGCUGUGUAAAACCACACGAGCAUGUGACCCAUUUUGCUUAAAUUUUCAUUUAAGCCCGAUUUAAUCUAUAAUUUGUAAUUAGACCCUUCGUGGGGUUCAGUUUGUUUAAAAAAGACCCGAAGUGAGGUAUACGUGUUGAUACAUUUGGUAAGUAAGUUACAUGUAUAUUAUAUGUGUCAAUAAUUGUUGAAAGCGUGACUAUUUUUGUAAAGCAUCUAUGACAUUAGUAUUUGAUGCAGUCGUUGAGAGCACCAAAAAUAUCCUAUUCCCUGUAAAAUAAUGAAAAAUAAUAGUAAAUGGGAAGUAGGGUCGAAUCCUCAGGGAUCGGAUUAUACGAAUGCUUGUUUCUCAAAAUCUAAGGCAGAAUCGUGCCCAAGAAAACCUGCGUGACAGAAAAAAAUAAAAAAAAAUAACAGAAUUAAAGAUUUGAUUUGGAAAAAAUAAAAAACAGAAUCUAAAGUUGACUCAAAUUGUGAUUACGAAAAUAAUAAAAAUAAUAAAGAGAGUUGAAGGAAAAGAAAAUCUUAUUGGUAGAUUCUAGCCUCUAGUUGUCUCAUUCCGCCUUGGGUUCGAUCAUCGGCUUUUAAAUGACCCUUCUCAACUCAAGUAAGCCAGUUAUAGCGGAAGAGGACGCCUACGACCACCAGCUCCAACGAUUAGACUUAUGAUUUUUAGGGAACCUGACUCUAGCCAGUAAUCUAUGCUAGAUCAACGCUUCUCAAUGGCGAAUCCCACGCCAUUUCGUCUCUUUGGCUCGCCAACCUCUGACGCAGUAAGUUAACGAACCAACUAUGCAAUCCUUCCAAAACAAACAACGCGGCCGCCUUUGCGUAUGCUGAAAAACUUACUUCUUAAGGGCCAUGGACGGAAGCGUCAGCCCGUAGUGCGGAGAAACGAUGAAUACUUGGCGAGAAGGCUAAGCACGUAUUCUAGGCCUCAAGAACCCUUUUUGGGGAAUAUUGACAACUUUCGACUAGAUAGGUUUUAGUGGCUCAUGAUAAUGGUGGAAAAAGAAAUAAAUAUAAAAAUGGAAAAGGGAAUUUUAUUUAAAGAAAAUAUGAAGAAACAAAAGCCUAGACUUUUAGGGGGAGAGUAUUUACAGAAAAAGAUGAACACCAAAUAGAGUCACUUCACCCCCUAUUUAUAGUGCUAGGGAGAUAGUCUAAUUUAACUUAAAUUCUAAAAAGAUAAAUACAUUUAAUUAAAGAUAAAUAAAGACAAUUAGAAUAAAAUCCUAAAAUUAAAUAAUCCUAAUAAUUAUCUUAAUAUUAAUUAUCCUAAUAUAAAUAAAAUGGAGUCUUAUAAAAUAAAAUCUCUUCUUUUUGCGUUUUUAGUCCUUGUGUCUUUCAUGCUCGCACUUUUGGCACAAUCUUUUUCCUGUGUCACACAUCAGCCCAUUGUGUCUCUAAAUUCGCACUUUUAUCCUUUAAUUUUGCUUUUGCCUCCAAAUCAAUCCCUAAUCGAUAAAAAGACAUAAAUAGCUCAAAUUCGUAGGAUCAAGCUCAGAAUAAACACAUGAUUAAUACAUAAAAAUGCGUUAUUCUAGAGCAUUAUCAAAUUCCCCCUACUUAGCCCAUGCUUGCCCUCAAGUAUGGUUCCUAUCCACUGUGAAAGUUAGAUUCUGCCAUAAAAGAAAUAUCACUCCAAAGUUUUAUAAGAAUUAGUUAAAAAUGCAUAUGAAAAAUAAAGAGAACCCUAAGCCUGCUUUAAGUAAAGUAGAAAAAGUUUUCCAAUUAAUGCACACAGAGUUUAAAAUCGAUUUGAAUUAUUUCAUGGAAAUUAGGUAAUUACCAAACCUAUCAAGACACCUUAUUUAUUUCUCCCUUUAAUGCCCAAUUUUAUUAAUGCAUAUUUAUUUAUUGUUUUUUUCUCUUUUUUUUUAGUUUAAUUUCAACUUUAUUUAUUUACUUUUACUUAGGAAAAAUAUUGAACCUUUUGACGCGAAAAGAGAUGACAGCCAAGCACCCCACCUCGGUUACUCAGCCCAACACAUUCCUAAUUUUUAUUUUUCCUAAGAACAUAUAGAACCUUUUGACGCGAAAAGAGAUGACAGUCAAGCACCUUACCCCGGUUACUCAGCCCAACACAUUCUUAGAAAUUAAUUUCGGUUAGCGGAGUUUUACCUAACACGUCACACAACCUUUUGACGCGAAAUAAGAUGACAACACAAGUACCCUACCCCGGUUACUCAGCUAGUCACGUCUUAAGCUGCACUCAUAACCACGGAAACGUUGUUAUUAUUAUUAAACGAAAUUUUAAUUUUGGAGGACAUAGGAAAAACAAUCAAGUGUCAAAAAUAAGUUUCAGUAACCACCUUAAUAGUCAUGAAAAUAUUUUAAGCAUGCAAUUAUAUUAAGUGUCCUCUUAUAUUUAGACUUAAUCAAAUUUACCAAAAUCAAGAUAGGGUUAACUUCAUUAAUCAUAAUUAUUUAAACUAAAAGAAAUAAAACAGUGGAGAUGAAAUAUAUCAAGCAAAAUCAUAAUUAACUCAGUAGAUAAGAAUCAUGCAUAACAGUAGGCAAGUCGUGGUCAAAUUCUUGGGCAUGAAAAGAGGCAAAAUAUUCUUAAAAAAAAUGGGCAGCAACAACAAAAAUUCAGCAUCUAAAAUGACAGAAAUAAUGAGGAAUGUCUCUCCCCUACUUAAAACACAUAGUCCUCGAUGUGGAAUAAAUAAAAUAGGAGAAAAAGGCGUAGAGGAACUCCCCGUGUUAUUACUGUCAUUCGCGUAUGAUGGCAAUGAGAUCCGCUAGUUGCUGGCCAAAAGUGUCGAGUAAGGGCAGUUUGGGUCCAAAUUUGUCGUUUCUCCUUUCUUCCUAUCUUCAUUUCGGUUUACCUAGAAGAAGAGAAUUUUAUUAAUAUCUGAAUAAAAUAAAAUAAUAAGAUAAAAUAAAUAAAAUAAAAAUAAAAUUUGGGUUGCCUCUCAACAAGCGCUUGUUUAACGUCGUUAGCUCAACGCCUUGAACGGUUUUAUGGUGAUUCUAACUGAAUUUUUUUGACCGUGUGGGCCUGGAAAUUUUUGUAAAAUGGCUUCAGUCGUUGACCAUUAACUGUGAACCGCUUUCCUGAUACUUCACUUUCUAUUUCAACUGCGCCAUGCGUAAAUACUUCAGUCACAAUAAAAGGUCCUUACCACCGAAAUCGAAGCUUACUUGGGAACAGCUUUGAUACGGAGUUAUAAAGUAAAACUUUUUGCCCUACCGAGAAAUGUUUCUGAGCUAUUUUCCUAUCAUGAAACAGUUUUGUUUUGUCUUUUUAAAUUCGAGCAUUCUCGUAGGCAUUAUUGCGAAUCUCCUUCAAUUCUUAAAUGUCCAAUUUUCUUGCCUUCCCUGCGGGCUCUAACUCCAUGUUACAUUGUCGAAUAGCCCAAUAAGCUUUGUGCUCCAGUUCUACUGGUAGAUGACACGCUUUUCCAAAAACAAGUCGAUACGGGGUUAUGCCAAUCGGGCCCUUAUACGCUGUCCGAUAGGCCCAAAAUGCGUUAUUGAGCCGAAGAUUCCAAUCCUUUCGAUUGGGCCAAACUAUUUUUUCCAAAAUAGACUUGAUUUCCCUGUUCGAAACCUCUGCUCGGCCAUUCGUUUGGGAAUGGUAGGCCGUCAAUAUACAAUGAUGAACUCCGUAUUUGGAUAAUAGUGCCUUCAUGACCUUGUUGCAAAAGUGGGUACCACGAUCACUGAUCAAAGCUCGAGGUAUGCCAAACCUAGAAAAAAUAGUUCGUUUUAGAAACUCCACAACAGUUUUAACAUUAUCAUUGCGAGUAGGCUUUGCUUCUAUCCACUUAGAAACAUAGUCUACUGCAAGAAGUAUAUAUACGUUUCCAAACAAAGAAAUAAAGGGGCCUAUGAAAUCGAUGCCCCAUACAUCAAAAAUCUCACAUACAUGAAUCGGGGAUAGGGGCAUUUGAUUUCUUUUAGUGAUGUUACCUGUAUGCUAGCAUUUAUCGCAAGACUUACGAAAGAUAUAUGCAUCGCGAAAAAUUGUGGGCCAAUAUAGCCCACACUCCAAUACCUUGUGAGCUGUCCGUUUAGGGCCAAAGUGACCUCCACAAGCUUCUAUGAGACAAAAAGUAAGGAUAGAGGUUACCUCAGUUUCUGGAACACAUCGUCUUAUUAUCUGAUCUAAAUAGUGUUUCCACAAGUAUGGGUCGUCCCAAAUGUAAUACCGAGCUUCCUGUCUAAGCUUGUCCUUCACAGAACAUGCUAACUCAGUGGGUAACGAUCCCGUGGUUAAGAGAUUAACUAUAUCUGCAUACCACGGAUAGUGAGCCUUGGUCGAAAAUAAGCUUUCAUCAGGGAACUCAUCCUUUAUGGGAACAUUAUCGAAUGGAUUUUUUAUCCUACUCAAGUGGUAAGCCACUAGGUUUUCACACCCCUUUUUUUCACGAAUCUCAAUGUCAAAUUCUUGAAGCAGUAAAAUCCACCUAAUGAGCCUUGGCUUUGCUUCCUUCUUUGCUAUCAAGUACCUAAGAGCUGCAUGGUCAAAAAAAAAUCACCUUAGAUCCCAGUAAAUAUGAUCGAAAUUUAUCUAAAGCAAAUACAAUAGCUAAAAGUUCCUUUUAUGUGGUCGUGUAGUUGCUUUGUGCAGCAUCUAGGGUUUUUGAGGCAUAGUAGAUGACAUGAGGCUCUUUGGCUAUCUUUUGUCCCAAUACGACUCCCACGCUGCAUUCGCUUGCAUCGCACAUAAUUUUAAAGGGAUAGUUCCAGUCUGAUGCCUGUACUAUAGGAGCGGUUACCAACUUUUGCUUGAGUGUAUCAAAAGCCUCUUUGCAUUUUGGACCGAACUCAAAUUUCUUAUCUUUCUGCAACAACUCGCACAAUUGUUCAGCUAUUUUUGAGAAGUUCUUAAUAAAACGCCGGUAAAAUCCUGCAUGGCCAAGAAAAGAACGUAUCUCUCUAACAGUAGAGGGAUAUGGCAGAGAAUUUAUAAUGUCAAUUUUAACCUUAUCAACCUCAAUUCCCUUAGACGAGACUAUAUGACCUAGAAUCAAACCUUUGUCUACCAGAAAAUGCCACUUUUCAUAGUUCAAAACAAGAUUAAAUUCUAUGCACCUGUUCAAAAUUAUCGUGAGAUUUUCAAGACAUUCAGUAAAACAGUUCCCAUAUACGGUAAAAUCAUCCAUAAAAACUUCAAUAAUUUUUUCUACAUAUUCGGAAAAUAUACUCAUCAUGCAUCUCUAGAAGGUAGCUGGUGCAUUGCAAAGUCCAAAUGGCAUCUUCCUGUACACAAAUGUGCCGAAAGGGCAUGUAAAAGUGGUCUUUUCCUGGUCUUCUGGCACAACAGGGAUCUGGAAGAAACUUGAAUAUCCAUCAAGACAACAAAAGUGAGUAUUACCAGCUAAACGUUCAAGCAUUUGAUCUAUAAAAAUAAGAGGGAAAUGAUCUUUUCUAGUAUAAGCGUUCAACUUCCUGUAACCGAUGCAGACACGCCACCCGUUUUGCACUCAGACCGGUACUAAGUCCCCCUCAGUAUUUUUCUUUACUGUCACGCCCAUUUUAUUGGGCACAACUUGUACCGAACUUACCCAUCUGCUGUCAGAAAUAGGGAAGAUAAUGUCAGCAUCCAGCAACUUAAUUAUUUCUUUUUUUACCACCUCCGUCAUAUUCGGGUUUAAACCUCUUUGUGCCUCUCUCCUUGGUUUCGUGUUCUCCUCCAAGUAAAUCUUGUGGGUACAUGUCAAAGGGCUUAUCCAUUUUAAGUCGGCAAUGGUCCAGCCAAUCGCCUCCUUAUGACUUUUUAGUACCUGGACCAAACUUUCUUCCUCGGGUGAUACGAGCACGACCCGCGAACUUUAUCGAGCAAGUCUGUCAAGCCGAGCAAUAACAUGUUGGCAAGCUGAUCCCAGCUCGUUUCCAGCUCCACGAGCUCUGUCCAGCUCAAAUCCAUCUUAUUCGAGCUCAAUCCAUCUUGUCUGAGCUAAACCGAGCUCACUCCUAGCUCACUUUCAACUCACGAGCUAAAGUUUAGCUCAACUUCAGCUUAGGAGUUUAGCCUCAGCUCAACUUUAGCUCACAAGCUAAAGCUUAGCUCAUUUUAGUUUAAACUUGGUUUUGUCUUUAAUGCAUUAAAUAAAAAUUUGCACAUAUUUAUUUAAGCAUUAAACUUGUCUUAUAUUAAUAUUUGUUAUUAAUAUGUCAUAGUCAUUACAUAAAUUGAUUAUGUUCACAUAGCUGAAUUAAUGCAUGACAUUAAUGUGUUCACAUCAUGCCAAAUUUAUGAGUGUUCAUGAGAUAUCUUAAUGACUUGUUUAUUUCAUGCAGGUACAUCCCUUUGGACGGUACAAUGUAUGGAUGAAGAAACAUCUCUUUUGGGCAUUCCACACUCAUGAAUGAAGAAGUAUUAAAUGCUGGUGCAUGUACGGCUAGAUGCAAGGUUUCUACAAAUUCAUGCAUUAUCGAAUGCAUGUAAGGACAUUAAAGGCUAGUCCAUGAAUGGAUCAAAUGCAUGGGAUGAUAGAAUGCAUGAAUGGCUUAAGUGCAUGUAUGGUGGCUGUCUCCUAACUUUCUAAGGCACUUAUUCGGCCCAGAAGUAGCUGUUCACACUUUGAAUUGACCUAUAAGCUACUACACAUGCAUGGAUGGGUUCAAGAACGUCCAAAUGAAGGAAUUAACUCAAUAAUUCAACACAUUGAUUGAAUUAAGUGUAUGCACAAAGGGGAGAACGAAUUUACUAGGUUCAUGCUGCCAUUUAUGAACCUACAUGCUAUUAAAGAGUUUAAUUAUGAGGAUACAUGUUCCAUACAAGUGCAUGAACGUCCCAAGGAGAUGAAUGCAACCUUUGGUGCACAUACAAGUCACUUGAAGCCUUUCUUUAUGAUUAAGCAUUCAUGCACACACUUAGGGGGAAGAAAGUGUCCAUUCAACUAGUUCAUGAAUCUGCCAAAUUUAUGAACUAUUUUAAUACAUUAGUGUGAACGUUUUUAUUAUUGUGUGAACAUCUAGAUGCCGAAUUUGAAUGGUCAUCUAUAUGCCUAUAAGUAUUUGUUUUCUUUCAAUUGUAAGGGACUUUUGCCAAAAUUGUUAAUGAACAUUAGUUCUUAUAAGGUUGCUUCCUCUCAUAUCUCGUACAAGUUUCGAAAGACUUAUCUGGCUUGUGCUAGUGGCGUCAAUCGUCUUGUUUGAACUUAUCACCAAUCUUGGUGUGGCGUUCACCUAUCCAUCUAUCCAUCUUUUCACCUUAACAAUAUAGGAACCGGGGUAACACUUCUUAGUGUUGAAUCAUUCCUGACGUUAAGUUCGUUUUCCAUUCCCAUCCUUCAAAUUAUUUUCUUGUUAUUCCAAACCGAGCCAUUUAACCAUCAUCCAUCUUUGCUACUAAAUCAAACCUAUUACUAAAUUCACCCUGCUUUGAAACCUUCCGCUUACCCGUAUCUUUUCAUUCACUUCUAGUUCUAAAACCCGAAGCACGAACGACUCUCUCGAACGAUGAUCGGACAACUAAGUGAAUUCGACUCAUCAUCCCGAGCUGGAUCACAUCAUCGGGUUUAGAGAGUUUAUUUGAAAUUAUAAUGGGUAUGGUAUUACCUUUUCCUAAAAAUGCAUAUUUAAGAUGCUCAGGAAGUGGUUUCAAUUCCAAAUCUGGAGCCUGCACGACAGAAGGCAGAAGUUUAAUUUCUGAUGGGGACAAUAAUGUAUUAACAAAUUCAUAAUCAUCAGUUCUAUAUUCAGAUUUGUCUUCAUAAGUUGACUCAAAAGUCUCAUCUACUAAUGAGUCAAUCAUGUCGACACAAUUUACGCUCAAGAUUUCGCUUGGAUGGCUAAUGGCAUCGUAAACAUUAAAUUUCACGAUCUCCUCAUCAACUUCCAUCGUAAGAGUGCCACUUCGAACAUCGAUCUUGGUGCUAGCAGUACUAAGGAAGGGUCGGCCCAACAGGAGGUCUGAAGAUCCAACAGUGUUGUCCUCCUCCAUUUUUAUUGCGUAGAAAUCUGCAAGGAAAAUAAGUUCAUUAACUUUUACCAAUGCAUCCUCGAGGACUCCUUCGGGAUGUACAAUAGACCUGUCCGCCAAUUGAAUAAUAACACCUGUCUUCGUCAAAAAACCCGCGUUAACUAAUUCAUAAAUAGAAUAAGGCAUUACAUUUAUAGACGCCCCUAAAUCACACAUAGCCUUUUUAAUUCCUAAAUGGCCAAUUUUGCAUGGAAUAGCGAACAUACCCCUAUCUUUGUAUUUAACCGGCAUUUUUCGCAGUAGCACUGCGGAAACAUUUUCACCAACACUUACCUUUUCAUUGCCUGUUAACUUUUUUUUAUUGGUGCAAAGCUCUUUAAGGAAUUUGGCAUACCUUGAAAUCUAUCUAAUGGCAUCCAACAGUGGUAUGUUGAUCUUGACAUUUCUGAAUGUUUCUAAGAUUUCUUUGUCUUCUUUACCUUUCCGACACUAAUUUAGUCAUCCUGGAAAUAGAGGUUGGAUUUUUGGUAGUGGGGGUUUCGCUCGGAUCUGUUCGUCGUUUUCUAGAGUUUCCUGGGCGAUUUCUUGGCCAAGAUUCUUGCUAGGAAUUGGUUUCAAUACAUUUCCACUUCGCAACAUUACUACAUUUGCAUUCUGUCUCGAGUUUGGUUCUGUUUGCGACGGCAGCUUCUUUUGAUAACUCAAUUUCUCAAUUGACGUGGUCAAUUCUCUUAUAGAUGCCUUCGUUUCUUUUUGGAAAUUAAGAGAGUGCUGUUGAAAAUCAAGGAAAUUAGCUGCUAAUUUAUUGACCAAAGUUUCCAGAGAAUUGCCUGAAUCUUGUGGCUGUUGUAGGACCCGAUUUUGGUAUGGCUGGUUAUAUCGUGGAUUAGCCUAUAACUAAAGUUAGGGUGGUCCCUCCAUCCUGGGUUGUAGGUAUUGGCGUAAGUUGUAUCGCCUUUGUGGUGGCCCAGGAAAAUUUCCCACAGCAUCUAAAUGGGCCAUAGUAUCGUCACACAGACUCGGGCACGCAUCAGUCGUAUGUUCAGGUGUAGCACAUAUUCUGCAUACUCGGGCUGGUUUUACUUUUUCUACAACAAGAGAAUUCACAAUAUUAGUAAGUCUAUCAAGUCUAUCCUCAAAGGUAGAAUUACUUAGCUGGUGAACCCUUCUAGGGGGUUCAGGAUUAGCUUGAAAUUGCUGAGAAUUUGUUCCGAUUGUGGAGAUCAAGUCUCUUGCUUGUUGGGGAGUCAUGUUGACCAAUGCUCCUCCACUAGCGGCGUCUACCAUAUUCAUCUCUAUGGGUUUCAGGCCUUCAUAAAAGUAUUGGAGGAGAGAUUGCUCUGUUAUACCAUGUUGUAGGCAACUUGCAUACAACUUCUUAAAUCGUUCCCAAUAGUCGUACAGAGAUUCUGCCUCUUUUUUCCUUAUUCCCACGAUCUCCCUUCUAAACUCAACCGCUCGUGAUGCAGGGAAAAACCUGUUAAGAAAUAAAGUGAGAUAGAUCAGCCCAAGUUGUAAUAGAUCCAGGAGGUAAAUAAAAUAACCAUUCCCUAACUGAAUCUGCUAGGGAAAAAGGGAAAGCGCGCAAUUUAAUUUGAUCCUCAGUUACCCCCUGAGGUUUCAUACUCAAACAAACCAUAUGGAAUUCUUUUAAAUGCUUGUGGGGGUUUUCAUUUUGUAACCCACGGAAAGUUGACAGUAGCUGAAUCAAUCCUGAUUUUAGCUAGAAAUCAGUAUCCAUAGUAGGAUACGCGAUGCAUAGUGGCGGUUGUUCCGUUGACGCUUCAGCCAAUUGCCGAAUUGUCUGAGCCAUAGGUUGAGGUGCUAAAUUAGGGUUUACGUCAACCCUAGUGUUAAGCGCUUCUUCUGAUGAAUCGACUUCUACUUUUUCGCCUUCAAAAGUUUGAGUAGGGUUUUCGUUAACCCUAGACUCUGCUUCGUCGUCGAUUCUGAUUUCUGGCGGUGGAUUACUUUGAGUCCCAACCACCGCUGACUGCUUUUUCUUUAGCUUUGUUUCCUUUAUAUUAGCUCUUGCAGCCUUUUCAAUCUCCGACUCAAACGCAAGAGUUCCUGGAGCAAAUCUGGUCAUAAGAAACAAAAAAACAAGAUUAGUACGUUACCGAUCCCCGACAACGGCGCCAAAAUUUGAUGCGUUCGUUGAGAGCACCAAAAAUAUCCUAUUCCCUGUAAAAUAAUGAAAAAGAAUAGUAAAUGGGAAGUAGGGUUGAAUCCUCAGGGAUCGGAUUAUACGAAUGCUUGUUUCUCGAAAUCCUGCGCAGAAUCGUGCCCAAGAAAACCUGCGUGACAGAAAAAAUAUAAAAAAAAAACAGAAUUAAAGAUUUGAUUUGGAAAAAAUAAAAAACAGAAUCUAAAGUUGACUCAAAUUGUGAUUACGAAAAUAAUAAAAAUAAUAAAGAGAGUUGAAGGAAAAGAAAUUCUUAUUGGUAGAUUCCAGCCUCCAAUUGUCUCAUUCCGCCUUGGGUUCGAUCCUCAGCUUUUAAAUGACCCUUCUCAACUCAAGUAAGCCAGUUAUAGUGGAAGAGGAUCCCUACGACCACCAGCUCCAAAGAUUAGACUUACGAUUUUUAGGGAACCUGACUCUAGCCAGUAAUCUAUGCUAGAUCAACGCUUCUCAAUGGCGAAUCCCACGCCAUUUCGUCUCUUUGGCUCGCCAACCUCUGACGCAGUAAGUUAACGAACCAACUAUGCAAUCCUUCCAAAACAUACAAAGCGGCUGCCUUUGCAUAUGCUGAAAAGCUUACUUUUUAAGGGCCAGGAAGCGUCAGCCCGUAGUGUAGAGAAACGAUGAAUACUUGGCGAGAAGGCUAACUACGAAUUUUAGGCCUCAAGAACCCUUUUGGAGAAUAUUGACAACUUUCGGCUAGAUAGGUUUUAGUGGCUCAUGAUAAUGGUGGAAAAAGAAAUAAAUAUAAAAAGGGAAAAGGGAAUUUUAUUGAAAGAAAAUAUGAAGAAACAAAAGCCUAAAUUUUAAGGGGGAGAGUGUUUACAGAAAAAGAUGAACACCAAAUAGAGUCACUUCACCCCCUAUUUAUAGUGCUAGGGAGAUAGUCUAAUUUAACUUAAAUUUUAAAAAGAUAAAUACAUUUAAUUAAAGAUAAAUAAAGAUAAUUAGAAUAAAAUCCUAAAAUUAAAUAAUCCUAAUAAUUAUCUUAAUAUUAAUUAUCCUAAUAUAAAUAAAAUGGAGUCUUAUAAAAUAAAAUCUCUUCUUUUUGCAUUUUUAGUCUUUGUGUCUUCCAUGCUCGCACUUUUGGCACAAUCUUUUUCCUAUGUCGCAUAUCAGCCCAUUGUGUCUCCAAAUUCGCACUUUUGUCCCUUAAUUUUGCUUUUGCCUCCAAAUCAGUCCCUAAUUGAUAAAAAGACAUAAAUAUCUCAAAUUAGUAGGGUCAAGCUCAGAAUAAACACAUGAUUAAUACAUAAAAAUACGUUAUUCUAGAGCAUUAUCAGUAUUCUGUUAUUUGUUCUGAUAUGAUAUCUGAUUCGACUAUGUGCUAUGUAUAUAUGUUAUUAUGAUUUUGUAUAAGCAUUUAAGUGGAUUUUGAUGAUGGAGGAAGCGUUUUCAAGUAGUAUUACUAUAAUUUUGGCGGUUAAACUAUAUUAUAUGUUUGACAGCUCAACUGUAUAUUUAAUAGUGGCAUACCACCACUUUUCAGUGUGAUUGGAUGGAUUGACUCAUGUAGUCCUAAUUAGUGUGAUUGGUUGGUUGGAGAUAGUGUGUAGCUAAUGAUGAUAGGAUUUGUUCUGAAAUGAUAUGACAUUUUGAUUUGAUAUAUGUAUAUAUAUAUUUAUGAAAUUAUGACACUCUGAUAUGAUAUAUGCUUCUAGAUAUAUGACAUUCUGAUAUUUUAUUUGCAUACAUGAAUACUAUAAGUAAAACUUUGUUUUGAUAUUUGCAAUUGUGCAUGUUGUAGUAAGAAAAUUCUUUAUAUGGGUUAAAUCACACAUUGAGCUUCUAGCUCACUCGUUCAUUUAAUAUGUUUCAGGUAAUCUUCUAACUUAGGACUAGACGAAGUGCGGGAGCUCGGAUUGUUUUCUUAGUUAAUUAAAAAAUGGUGAUUUUCGUAAACAUCUAUUUUGGACUUUUGGGACUAUUUUUGGGCUCUUUUUUUUUGUUUAAUUCGUCGAUAAUUGAUUUUUUUUAACGUGAUACUGCAAAAUCACACGAGUUAACAAAAUGGAUUCCAAUUUUCAAAACUAAAACUCUGAAAAUUUUCCACUACAAACUUAAGUAAUUUCUUAAGUGUUUUUCUAUAAACGAAUAAAUAGCUUUUAAUGAAUGUUUGCCAUAUUUAUAUUUUCUAAACACUCACUGAAAUCAGGAGUUUUCAAACGAGAUCAAGUUAAGAGUUAUUCUAUAAAAUAAAUUGUACGUAAUUUCCAAAAAAACAUGCAAGUAUUUUGCUAAAAAUAUUUUUUUCAGAAUUCUCGGUUUCUAAAGUUAGGAUUUAACUUCUGAGUUUUUAAAUAAACUAAUGUAAUCUCUUCAUAUUCGUUCAUAACGUCUAGGCUAUGUUUGGGGUGUUACAUGGGCCAAUAUGUCUCAAGACUUAAAUCAAGAUAUCUUGAAACUUGCUUGGUAAGUCUUGAGACCUAUACCUAAAAAUGUACCAAAUGGUCAUUUUCAUUCUUGAUAUCUCGAGACCAAAUAGUAAAAAUGUAAAAAAAUGCAACUUUAACCUAUGGAAAAAGUGACACCAAAUCACACCUACAUAAGACCAUUAUAUAACUCGAUCAUAAAGCAUCAAUUUGACAUCACCAAUCACAAAAUCGAACACCUUAAGACAUAACAACUAAAGCAUGACAUAGAAGUAUACAAAAAUAACUAUUUACUAGCAUUAGAACAUGUUUGUACAUGAUCAUAUCCCACUAUCAAAGUUCACCACAUGAUUAAAAUGUGUUCCAACAUAAAUACCAACAAUUCAUAACAUCCAAAUGACCCUAUUAAACUUUUAAUUAUCUAGUUACAUGCCAUUUACAACACAAAACAUAAGAGAGCAUUAUAGAGAUGUAGUUGAGCUGAGAUGUAAGAUCUAGAUGCCGCUACUAUUUAUUGAUCAACCAAACACCUAAAGUUACAUGUGCACAGAAACAAACAAAUUCGCACGUUGAGUAUUGAAACUCAGUGGUGCUAACAUAAUUUGAAUUCAACACAUAAUUAUAUUAAAUAGUAAAACACAAUAAGAUAACAUUAAAGUACAUUGCAACUAAAAUUUUAUUCCAACAUAAAAAAUCAUAUAAUCACAUAUCAUUUUACAAAUUAACCCUCAGGAUAUUCAUGCAACACUCACCAUGUGUUAACAUAAUUAGUUACUGUAACAGCCCGUUUUUAGUCAAAUCAGAACAAUAGUUUCGGGACCACAAAUUCAAGGUUGAAAUAAUUAUUUUAUUAUUAUUUUAAUGUUUAUAGCAUGAUAGUAUGAUUGUGUGAAAGCUUCAUUAAGAAAUUUUAUCGUUUAAGUGUUUAAUUUGAUAAAAAAGACUAAAUUACGUAAAGUGUAAAACUUGAGUUCUAAUAGCUAAAGGUGUCUAAUGGCUAUGAAAUUAAAUAGUGUAUGCCCUUAUGUAGUAAUUAGAACAUUGUUAAUAGGAGUGGACAUUCUUGGACAUCAUUUAAGUGAUUUUAAUGUUUUAUAAUAAAGGUUAUAUAUGUAAUUCAAUAAAUAAAAUCCAAAUUAAGUAAAACAAGUCAAAUUCUCUACUUCAUUUCAUCUUCUUCCACCAAAAAUAAGAAGGAAAAAUCUCCAUGGAAGCUAUCUAGGGUUCAGCUACUUCCUGGUUAAAUUGGUGAGUGAUUUUUGUCCCGUUUUUAAUAAUUUUUAUGUUUUUGAGAUCGUUGUAGCUUAAUCUAGCUAGCCCAGGGACUAAUUUGAAAAAAAUUUUAAAAUUUUAGGGUUUUUCCAUUGAUGAAUCUAUGCGUAUUUUGAUUUUUGAUGAUAGAAAAUGUAUGCUUGUUGUUAGAUAAACAACAUUUGUAAAGUAAUUUUUAGUAAAAUUGUCAUUUAACGAUUUAAUUGAGAAAUGUGGAAAUUUUGUGGUUAAAUUGUGAAAUAAAUGAAAAAUAUAGACUGCUAUGGUAAUAAUAGAAAUUAGGCUAGCAUGGGUAGGGACCAAAUUGUAUGAAUUUGUAUUUUUAUGAGAUAAGGACUGUAACACCUCAAACCCGGCCCAGACGUUAUGGUCGGAUCCGACAUGCCACAUCGAAACGUUCAAAGCAUUUUAUAUUGUUGAUCCAGAAAAACCUAUUUAGUGUUUUAAAAGAUAAUUUCAUUAUAGGUUAAAGUGAAUGGAAGCUGUGCACCAGGUAGGAAACCGGAAAAGAGGAGGUGAGUCUAUCAGACUACUUAAGUACCAAGCUCCCUUCGAAUCCAAUCCUAGACAUGCACACCGCCAUUGCCACACCUUAACGUCAUGUAUAUUUCUAGGAAACCGACUUGAUUAAAUCAUUUUUAGGAAAAGUGAUUAAUUUUGGAAAAUACUUUCAUUGCGGAAGCUUUGCUUGUUGUCGUGUUAUUUUGAAAUCAAUUGUUGUUUUUUUUUUAAAAUGCGCCCUAAAGCUAUCCAAUUUCAACAGUUAAAAUAAGUAAUAUCUAUCUUAGUAAUACAUAUUAAAACCAUCAAAAAUAAUUAAGCGGCCUUAUUACAUUUAAAAACCCAAAACUUCAAACGUAAAUAAAAGGAUGUCCAGUUCACCAGAAGAAAAUCAAACUUUCAGAACAGGUGGCCACUCCGAAUUCCCUCACAGCUCCAAGCCCACUAUGGUUGGGGAUUACCUGCGUGGAUGAAAAUAAAAGGGGUGAGUUUAGGAAAACUCAGUGUGUAAGGAAAACCCAUUCAAAGCCCAAGUCAGCUCAAGCCCAUUAGGCCUAAGCCCAUUCAGGUAACAAUGAUACUGGGCCAGAGCCCUUUUCAGAUUACAAUAAACUGGGCCUUAGCCCCUUAUUCAGAUAACAGUAUGGCCCAUAGGCCCAUUUCAAAAUACAUGCAACAUCAAUAAACAUAUGCAAGCCCAUUUGGG